rnacentral:lncRNA from 1 species
UUUUUAUCCCUUGUGAUCAUUUGGAAGACAACCUGUGAGUCAAUUUCUACAAGAACAUAACUUAAGUUCAAGCACACUGCUGCUUGCAAUCCCAAUCUAAGAGCAUUCCCAAUGCAAGGUGGAUUUUGGGGGUGGGGUGGAUAAAUCCACCUUGAAACCUAAAACAAUGUCCCAAGGGGAGGUGAAUUUUGAGAAGUGGCUGCCCACAGGUGGAUUUGAAGGUGGGAGAAUCCACCUUCAAAUCCACCUGUGGGUGGUAGAACCGGACCGCAUGUUACAUGCCGUCUGUUUUUUUUUUUAGUAUUACGUAGUGUUUUAAAAGUUUUGGACUCUCGGACGGCAUGUCACAUGCCGUCUCCCUAUUUUUUUGCAAAAAAAAAUGGGACGGCAUGUCACAUGCCGUCCGGUUUUUCUAAAAAUCCACUUCCUCUUACCAAAGAGUCCACUCUGCGUUGGGAGACUACCACCCAAGUGCAAAUACACCUCUCUCUUUGAGGUGGAUUUUGCCUAGGUGGACUUACGUGGCGCCUACGUGGAGGUGGAUUUAUCCACCCUGCAUUGGGAAUGCUCUAAGAGUAUAGAAUUCUGCCAUGAGUGUUGAACUGUACAUGAUAGGUUGUGCUAAAGCUAACACAAAACCUCCUUGUUGCUCUCUAAUAACAACUCCCCCACCAGCAGGUCCUGGAUUUGGGCUAGCCGAACAAUCGGUAUUUAAUUUGUACUAACCUUCUGGAGGCAACUCCCAAGAAAUAAAAAUCUGAUGUCUGGUGGUCUUUGAACUCGCUGCUGUAUCAUGACACUGCCCUGGUCUGACUUCCUGCGGAACUUUGAUCAUUCUUCUAAUAGCCAAAAUAGUUCGAAAUGGCCAUUGUUUUUCCAUGUGAAAAUGUACCUUGUUUCUUGCUACCCAUAUUUCCCAUAAGCCAACAACAAAUAGGAUUUGUAACUCAUUUGUUUGUGACGACUUUGAAUGCAGACCAUUACUAAUUCCUAAUAGCAUGUGCUGAGCAUUGCUAUAGGACUGAGCAUACACACAACUAUGAAUGUCCAAACCAAACCAUACAGCUCGUGCAAAAGGGCACUUGAUAAAAAAUGUUAAGACUGUUUCAACCUGUGACUGACAUAGAUUACAUUGAUCUUGUACCUGACAAUGUCUCUCGAUCAACAACUUUGCCACUGGUAGUGCAUCAUGUAGAAUCUGCUAUAGGAAGAACCUACACUUAGCUUGUACGGGAUAUUCAAUUUCCAAAUUGGGUAAAUUCAUUCUUCUUGUACAUCCAAGGUUCAUGAAUUGAAGCGAGCAAGCAGGCAUAUGCAGAUUUAACAAAAUAUGCUCCAUGUCUAUCGGAUUCCAGACUUUAUUAGAAUCGGUUUGGUGCACAACUGGUCAGGGAAUAGACAAUAUUUGCCGAGCAAGAUGAGCAUGCCAAAACUUCAUGACUGCGUCAACAUCCCACAUUUUAGAAACAGGGUCGAUAAAAAAUUCAUGCACUCUAGUAAGUGAACAAUCUGGCGGCUUAGAAGGCAAACUCCAAGGUAUUAAUUUUCCCGGGAUCCAAUGAUGUUUCCAUGCGUCAAUAGAGAGUCCAUCACCCAAUACCCACUUGCCAUCUCAAUCCUAGCUGAAGUAAACUACGUAAUGACAUAAUAUCCUUCCAAGAGCUGAUUUUUUUAGAGAUGUAUCCAUAAACUCAUCCCUAGGGAGGUAUUUUGCCUUCAUCUGUAGAGCCCACAAUGAACUUGGAUUCAAUAGUUGGUAAGCCUUCUUUCCUAACAACGCCAAAUUCUGAAUUUGUAAAUUCUUAAUACCCAAACCACCGGCAUGUAUUGGAAGACAUGCAUCAUCCUAAGAAAAAUAUUGACAUUUCCUCUUGCCAGGUUGUUCAUUCAAGAAAAAUCUUCUACGAAUCAAGUCCAUCUGAUCAAUGACUUUUAAUGGAAGCUUGAGGGUAGACAUGACAUAAGUAGGAAAUGCAAAGAGCACAAAAUUUACUAGAGUGAGCCUGCCAGAAUUAUAUAAAGGAAAAGAGCAAAGAGCACAAAAUUUACUAGCAUUUUAUCUCACAGCACUCAUGAAGAUGAAGGUGGGUUCCAAUAUCUUCAUAAAGGAAAAGAGGAAGAAAAUUGUUUCAGAUAAUCAGAAAUUUUAUAGAGCAAAAGCAAAAGGUUUUUUUCCCUCUCCACCCUCCUUUUUUUUACUUAUUUUAUUAGGGCUUGAAUGAAAUCAGAACAAAUUAGUAUUUUAUUUAUUUAUUAUUAUGCUGUAUGAUAGUAUUUUUAUGAUAAUAAAAUAUCCUAUUUUUCAAUCUUGCCUCUCGUAGCUCUCAAGAAGAUGGAAGAACAAGUGACCAAUGAGCAAGGGUUGGAGAAGUUGUUGAGUCCUGAUUUCUGGAUUAACUAUUUCACAGUUAUUUAUCCCUACCACCCUGGUCAUGUUGGAGAGAGACAAAGUUUCUUCUUUCGGUUUUGCCUCUCAUCCAAGAUGCCUGCAACUCUAUUGAAAAUCAGACACAUGGAGCAGCAUCAUCUAGUAAUGAUGCUACGAGUCUUAAUAUUGUCCCUGUGCUCCAUGAGUCUACUGUUAGGUGGUUUUUGUUUUACCUUUCGUACUGCAUCGGUUGCUUGCGUGAUACUUUAUCAUACAUCAAAGAAAUCACAAACAAGUUAACCUUACGAGCAAAGAUCCCCAUAUUGGAUGAAACCACAAACAAUUCAGCAGGAAAGGGCACCAAACUGGAUGAUAAUUAUGCAGCUAGCACUCAGGUCCAAGCUGAUCACUGUAAUAACAUUGUCCUAUAUAAUUUCCACUACACUGUUGUAUUUCUGUUUUUUUUUUCACCCUCCCCCAUCCCUCCCAUUUAUGUUUUUGCAUUGCAGUAUCUUUGAAUCCAUCCUUAAUUGGGUCCUAUGGCUUCUUCUGAGAAGCUGCCAGAGUUGGAAAAGGGUGUCAAUGGCGAGUCUAUUCUCUGCAGCUUGUAUGAUAUAGAAGAUAACUCUAUCCAGAAUUAUACCAGCUGAAUUCUUCACGGUCUCGAGAACUUCAUGUUGGUCGUUGAGGACAAAAUUGUCGAAUUAGUAACCAAACCUCCAGCACAAGGUAAUGCAAUUAAAUCUUCUUCCCAACUGAUGAUGUCAUUGUCUCCUUAGAUGACUUGUAGUUUUUGCUUGUUUCCAAAAAUUAAAUUCACUUGGGGUUUUGUGUUUUUCUUUCCUUUUAGCUCUCUUUCUCAUUCCCAUCAUGUUUCUUGUUACAGAUGGCAGCAAGAUCUCUUCCAAUAUCUACAACAUUUUGCUAGUUCUGAAAGAGAUUUUGGCAAACAUGGGAAUCCAUGCUGAAGUUUGUGAACACGACAAAAGUGAGUUUACACUUAUUUCUUUUUACUUGUUAACAUUUCCAAUUAACCUCCUUGAUUAAUUAGUGUAAUCGCUUUCUUUUUUAUUUAUUAACAAGAUUUGGAAGGAUCAGAAGUCUAUUACCACAUUCAAGAUCUUGUGGAUGAUUGGGAGCCCUCUGGGAAUUGUCACGUCAACUGCCAAAGCACUCUCGACUCAGGUGAUCUGAAAGACUCAGUUGACAGAAUCAAAAGCAAAGAGGCUAGCUGCCUUUUGUGAAUUGGUGGACAAACAGUAUGACUUGUUUCUGACCAGAAUUGAAAGAGGUGUGUGGAGUAUUAUGUGUUUUUACCCUGCGAAAACGUUUGUGUGUUUUAGUAAGCCAAGUAAAAUCCAGUUUUUCUCGAGCUACCAUUUUCAACUUAAUGUUGUUAUCCUCUGGCAUCUGAACUCUUUUUUACAGGAUUUGUGAAGCGGAAGUUUGUUGACAUCCAAUCUGCUGCAUGCUGUUGAAGCUGUGUGAUAAUGUGUUCGAGUCGUAUGCACUCAAUUCCGACGAGCACACAGUGGCAUUAGGCUGUAAAGAAGAACUUAGGGAAGUGACCAAGGGACUGGGAAAUGAUAUAUUCACCUCAAUUUCCGCUAUGACUGAGUUUGGUGAAGCUAGAAGCCCGUUCUACAUGGCAUUCGAAAGGUUAUUGAAUUGAUAGACCCUGUUCAAAGGAUGUCGGUUUGGUAUUCUGACUGAACUACUGACAUAAUGUGUUGUGGUUUUUGUAUUAAGUUUUACUAUGACAUGAUUGGGGUAGGGUAGUACUGUUCUAUGGAUGAAACUUUAAAUAUGACCCACAAAAACUUUGAUUAUGAAACUCAUUUUGUAAAUGGCAAGUGAGGACCUAAUUUAGGUUUUCUUUAUGUUUUGUUUAAGGACUAAGCUGAAUGAUGCUGGCAAUGUCAAAUUUCUUUCAUGUUCCAACUGAUUGUGUGAAAACGUUUCCUCAAGUUGUGCAUGAUGUCUGCAAAGUAGUACACAUUUGGUUGCACAGUUUCCUCUUCUGUUUUUAGCAGCUACAAUCCAAUGAACAAUAGGCCACAAGUUGAUUAUAAGAUCUGCUACAUGUGGAUGAGAGUUACAGGCAAGACAUGCACAGGUUGGACGACCCUUGUUGCAACCGUGAAUACUGUCACCCUGAAUCUUUUCUAGUGGUCUAAACUUUGAAUACCACCAUGACCCUAAAUUGGUAGCAUGAUUCAUAAAUUGUUACUCCAGCAAGAAGGUAUCAGACAAAAUAUUCUGGUCCAUAGAGCAGUUGCGUACCCAGCUCCCAAGAAUUCCAGAUUCUAUCAUACAAAGCAGCCUCCCUGUCCCAUUGGUACAAAAAUUGUCACUGGAAAGUUUAUGAUGCAAAUUUGCUAAAGGGAUGCUUCAAGACUCAAGAGUUCAAGGGCAAGACAGUCUGCAGUCCAAACUCUUCAUUUAUUCACUCCCAUUUAAACAUGCAAUCAAAAGGGAAACAGUAAAACACCACAUAAUUGAAGUUAGUAAAGAUAGGAACGUUUUUUAAUUAACCACAAGAAGUGUGAUAGGACUUAGUCAUGCUACUGUAAUUAUUAAUUAACAAUUAACAAACCAGUUUAAUUAGAGUAAGACCUAAUCUUGAAUCCAUGUUUUAGAUUACCAAUUUAUUGAUUAACACAUUUUUAUUGGCCAACAAAAAGGACACAUCUAUUUGUCAUGAAUCUUAGGCCUGCUUUAAGAAUACAAAAAUUGUUCAGCUUUGCUUGUAUUUAAACAACUGUACCAUGUAACCCUAAGGCAUCAGUCUAGAGCUUCAAUCUUCUUGAUAUUCAUUAAUUUGCUCUAUCUUUCUAAUUAUUCAAAUUAGAAUAGAGAUGAUAGGAUCGAGUGCUAUGCCUUCCAACUCAAUAUAUGAAAGCUUGAAGAGGUAUUGGAAAAGACGAAAUUACCAACGAUUAGAGGGUGGAGCAACAAAAAGUAAAAACAACUUUAAGAUCAUGAGGUUUGGAGCAAGCAACCGAAGCCACAAACCACUACCAGAACUACAAACCAAAAGCCAAGAAUCGCGAAGAAAGCUUGUAGUGAAGUUUCAUGAUGCUUAUCUUGAAAUGAUGCUUGGUCUGUCAUUCAAAAUUAGAUCAUUAGAUGGUGAAAAUAUGUUUGGAAGGAAGAGAAUUCCUAAGGCUGGCAAGGUAAACAAAGGAUCACUAUUUGAGGAAAAUGAGAAGAAGUUGUUUUUUGAAAUUUAUAGUAUUCUUUUGGCUUCUCGCGAGUUUGCUGUUUUAGAAUGAUCCUAAUGUGAUUUUUUUUUGCCAAUCUAAUUCUUCAUCUUACUUGCACAAUGAUAUUCAUAUUCAAUGAACCAAACUUCUGCUUGCCUGCAUUGCAAUAUCUCAUAAAUCAACAAAUUGCAUUGCACACUUGUUGCAAUUAACUUAUGCUCAUAAUUCCCUGUCAAGGACAAAGGACAAAGGACAAAGUUGUGGGUCAUGUGCAUGUGGCAAGUAAAAGUAGCUAUCAUAGCUGACCUGGAACUCUUGUUCCAAUACAUAAAAACAAACUUUCAAUCCAACGGUUGUAUUUAAUUGAGGAAGCUGUUACCAAAUCUCAAGUAAUUUUAAUUUCCAUAAAAAUAAUGAUAUGUUUGACACACCAAGUUGUGCAGAUCUCAAGAAAUUUUGUGUUAGACUAGUUGAUCAAUCCAAUCAAAUUCCCAAGAUUUUAUGCAAAGGACCCUGGUCCCAUUCUUUGAAACGCAAAGGCAUGGUGAGUGUGGGACCAGAAUUUGAGCUAAAAGCCUAAAACGUGAAAAGUUGCUCAACUGUACAAUUAUCAAUCUACUGGUCAAGCUUCUCUCUUCUUAGCUCCAAAACCAUAACCCAUUCUAGAUAAAAGACUUCUUCUAAACAUACACACUAAAACUUGUAAUACAUCAAGAUUGAAGGAAAUGGAAAUUAGAGCUUGGGAAGAUAAAGCUCCAUAUCUUCCUUUACAAGAAGAAGAUGAUGAUGAAGUUAUUGCCAAAGUUGUUGCUGAUGAUUCUCGUUUGAAUCAGCUCGGUUACAAGCAAGAACUAAGCCGUACACUCUCGUAAGUCUUCUUUCUAGUUGUAUUUCAAUUUUCAACCAAUAUGAACUUUUAGUUUCAUUCAUUUCAUAGAAAUGGAUUCUUUCAUAUUGCUACUUUCUGUUCAAUGCACAACCUCUACAUGUAUUUCUUGGAUCUAUAAUUUUAAUUAAUAGUUUAGAAGGGCUUAUAAAAUGUGAUUUUAUUCUGUGAUGCAAAAAGGUGCACAAUGCCACAAUGUACAUGGACAAAAUAUGGUGCAACUCUAAAUUAAAUUCCAAUGUAACACACCUCAUAGGCUCAUAUAUACUGUGCUUACUAAACAUUGGGUCCUUCUAGGGUGCAACGCGGUUCGACACAAAAGUUAUCAUUCCAUAUAAUAACACAAGCCAUUCCAUUUAGUGGCCAAGUUGUCAUUUAGGUCUUACCGACUUACCUGAUUGAUCGAAUCGAUUAAAUCAAUAAUUUUGUAGAGUAAUUUUGAUGUCAUUUCGCAGAAGUUCUUAUUGUUGUUGGUUGUUUGAACUUUGGCGAUGAAGAUUUAUGUGCAUAUAUGUGUAGGGCUGUAUCGAAUUUUGCUGUGACAUUCUCUAUCAUAUCUGUGCUAACCGGUCUGACAACUACUUUCAACACUGGACUUACAUUUGGUGGGCCAUUGACAAUGGUAUAUGGGUGGUUAAUUGCCGGUUUCUUCACUCUCUUUGUGGGUUUUUCAAUGGCUGAGAUAUGCUCUUCCUAUCCAACUUCUGGUGGGCUUUAUUUCUGGAGUGCAAAGCUUUGUGGAAACGACUGGGCCCCUUUUGCUUCUUGGAUCACGGGCUGGUAUGUUCCCAGUUUUUAUUUUGGGUCAUGCCUUCAUUUCAAGGCCUACAUAGUGUUUCUGUAAUAAAUGUUAAUUUUUAUUUUUUUUUUCAUAUUUUUCAUAACAAAAUUUUGGUUACCCCUGCUUGGUUACCCCGCAAAAUUUUGCAUGAAAAUUAGCCUAAUUUAAUAUGCUUGAAACUCUUUAUAAUUAGUUUUAUGAACAAAAUUUAUGCAAAAAUUUGGUGUUAUUUCAAAAGUGCAAAAUUUUUACACCUUUCUCUAAUAAACUUAGUAGGGGACCACCUAUGAUUAUCUCAUGUUUAUGCAAGGUUUAAAUGGGGGACCAAUAGGGUUUAAACUAAAAUAGGUAGGGGUCCAUCCAAAUCAAAGAGUAAACUUGGAGGGACCACUCUAACUAUAGAUGGGUAAAGAUUUGUCUUUUUUGCAGCCCAAACAAGCAGGGCCAUAAUUGAUCCCCCCUAGGGACUCAAAUUUUCUCUCAAACAAGCAAAAAGGGAACACAAGAAAUGAAAACAUGCUUUCCAUAUUGAUUGGACCAGUUAGGUGACAUUUUGUUGAAUGAAUAAUGCAUAUACAGUAUAUAUUUUGGGUGAAAGUCAUUUAUGUUUUUGUCACGUAUGUUAUCAAAAAUUUCUCUACGUAGACAUUCAACAAUUCCACCCUAGACUGCUAGUAUUGAUUCCUAAAACUUAGAGGAAAAUGUGGGAAAAAAAUGUGGAUGCAAUUGGAUGCAAACUUGUUUACACAAAAUUAGAAAACACCUCUCAAAAUGUCAAUGAUUGGCUCCACCAUCAUAUAAUGGGUAGUCAAUUACAGGGGUGGCAGUUUUUGACACGACCCGCAAAACUGACCCGAACACGACCCGUUAUUUAAUGUGUUCGGGUUGACCUGUUAUCUGGUCCGUGCUAUUAAUGGGUCGACCUGCUUUCACCCAUUCAACAAAUGGGUUGUGUCGUGUAAACCCAGCGUGUCAUAUCGUGUUUGAACAAACAAAUCUCUCCCAUAAGAAAUUGGAUCUAAAAAUUAAACUUUUACCAUACUCAUUCGGUCAUUCUUCUACUUCCCCAUACUCAUACUCUUCACCAACUUAAAAGCAAAAUCCCCAUCCAUCACCUUUAGCAGCAGUGCAGCACAAGGAUAAAGAAGUGUAUUGAAGUGAUAAUUUACAAAAAAAGAAAAAAAGUGUAUUGAAGUGAUUGUGAUUUAAACGAAGAUUUUGUGAAAUUGUUUUCUCGUAAGGUGAAAGUGCACCAGCAAGAUCAUUGGUUUUUGAACAAGUACCUUGAUUUGAAUUUGAAUUCUCCAUUGAUGAUGAUGAAAGAAGAAAAUUGAAGUUGUUAUUUAAGAUUAAUCCAAGUUAUAGAAGGAUUAAUUAAGACGAUUUUCAAUUUAAGUAAAGCUAUUUCUGUUUUGGGUUUAGUUUAACACUUCAACUUAAAUGGUUGAGAGGGAAGAGAAGACAAGAAGAAAGGCGUGCGUGUCAACCGUGUCCAGAUCGUGUAACCCGUUGGAUAAAGGGUCGUGCUCGGGUUGACCUGAGUUGACCUGUUUAACAACCGUGUCAUUCUCGUGUAGACCUGUUAUAACCCGCGACCCGAUAUAGACCCGACACAAAUACGACCCGACACGACCCAUUUGCCACCCCUAGUCAAUUAGAUCAUGGGACCCUUAAAAAAUUAAGGAGUAAUUCAGUCAGUCAAGUAGUAGCCAACCCAAAUACCCAAUACAUCUUUCCAUUCCACACGGAGUUAACAAACAUCAAAUCCCAAGGAUCAAAGAAUCUGUAUUUAUAACUCCAAGCAAGAUUCCAAAACAAUGAUAAACAAUCAGCUUGAUUUGCCAUGUUGUCCUUAUUUGCCUUCAGUGUCUUGGUUUGACCAAAGACAUGUCCACACUCCACACUCUUGGUUCUAUAGAUGAGAAACAAGGCAAUCUCAUUGAAGAAUAUUCAACAUAGAGAGGAACUGAGAUCAAGAGCUUUUAUAGAGCCAAAAGUCUGGGAUUACUUUUUGUUUCUGUGAAAAAAUGGUCUGGAGACGUGAAGUGAUCCCUGUAUCUUCUCAGGUUCCAAAUGGAGAUACUGUUUCGUCAAUGGAUUCAGGACAGUCUCGUCUUAAUCAACUAGGUUAUAAGCAAGAACUCAAGCGUGAUAUGUCGUAAAGUUUCUCCAUCUUUUCGCCUGUUUUUUUUUCUUUUGUACUUCUUCCGCAGUCAUUUCUAUUGGUACCCCCAAUUCACUAUCAUGGAUGAAUUGUGGGAUUUUUCAUUUUUGAGUCAUUUCUUUUGGAUUUUUCAUUGCAGGGUAGUUUCAAAUUUCGCCUUCUCGUUUUCGAUCAUAUCAGUGUUAACAGGGAUAACCACCCUGUAUAACACUGGAUUGAAGUUUGGGGGUCCUAUUGGUAUGAUUUAUGGAUGGUUUAUUGCUGGAUUUUUUACCUUAUCUGUUGGUUAUUCCAUGGCUGAGAUUUGUUCAUCUUACCCAACAUCUGGGGGUCUUUAUUACUGGAGUGCCAAGCUUGCUGGUCCCAAAUGGGCACCAUUUGCUUCUUGGUUGACAGGCUGGUAAUUACUUACUAAAAAUUUAUUCCAUUCAUCUCAUCGUAAAUUCUUCUAAUCUUGUUUCCAUUUUCACUCAAUUUGCUGAGUGGAACUCUAGUCCUGAUUUUUGUGAUUAUUGAUGCUAUACUUUGAUUUGUGUAUGUUGCACUUGCAAUGCUUGGUAAACCAUAAAAAUAGAGACGUCACAGAAUACAUGUAAAAGUUUCGGGUGAUUACAUCACCUAUUAGGAAAAAACACAUUGAAGUGGAGUAUGACACGAGUUAUUUAAUUUUGCCUUCAAUGCUAUACUUAGAUUUGUGUAUCUUGCAGUAUUUUCCCUUCAAUGUCCACACUCCUGAUUUAAAUUUUUUUUUUCUUCAAUUACUUUGCCGCCUUCUUGUUCAUUGAAGGUCUCCAGUGAAAUAUCAAAAUCUCUUGCUUUUCCUGUGAGAAAAUUUGCUUUGUAAAAACAACCAGCAUUAGCUAUUUAGCUCUCUCUAAUUUAUCUCUCACGCUCAAACAAUUAAAAAAAAAAAAAACAAAAAAAAAAAACACUCACUCUAAGCUUCUUAUGCUCAUCCCCUUUAAACUUUUUAUGCAGGUUCAACAUAGUUGGUCAGGUAUUCUUACAAUCAGACCUUUUUCGUUAUCUUCUUGAAAGCCACACUUGUCGCUGACUUAUUGGGUAUAUUGCAAGUUCAUUCAGGGCUCUGAUCAUUUGACGACUUUUACAUUUGCAGUGGGCUGUUACAACAAGUGUAGAUUUCUCAUUAGCACAGCUUAUUCAAGUUAUCAUUCUGCUUAGUACUGGUGGAAACAAUGGUGGUGGAUAUUUAGCUUCAAAAUAUGUAGUUAUAUGCUUCCACGGAGGAAUUCUAUUUUUACAUGCCUUAAUAAAUAGUCUUCCCAUCACAUGGUUAUCCUUUUUCGGACAGCUUGCUGCAUUAUGGAAUGUUGUAGGUAUGUAAUAUUUCCGUUUCUUUAUAUGACCUUUUAUUGCAGGAUGCACUGAAUGAAGCUUCCACUUUAACCUGCACCUUUGUUGGUGUUGCUAGGCGUUUUUGUGCUUAUGAUAUUGAUCCCUACUGUCACCACUGAAAGGGCCAGUGCCAAGUUUGUUUUCACUCACUUCAAUACGGAUAAUGGGGAUGGAAUCCACAGUAAACCUUACAUAUUUCUUCUUGGCCUCUUAAUGAGCCAAUAUACACUUACAGGGUAUGAUGCAUCUGCUCAUAUGGUACGUUAUGAUUCAUUUUGGUUUUAUCAAAUAAUUUGGACUGAAGCUGGAUACAUAUCUACGUCAUUUUUAACUAUCAAUGGAAACAGUUUUCCAUUUUGUCAAGCCUUCAACCUUUGUUGUGGUUGUCACAGUAAUGCCUUGGUUCUGUUAUUGUCUUUUGCAUGCAUUAAGUUAAUUGCACUGAUGAUGUAGCCCAGUAUGUUUAAUGGCAUUUGUUUAACUGACUAUUAGCUUUGACAUGUCCAACCUAUACAUAUUCAAGCAACCUUAAAGACACUACUGCAUCUUCAUAAGUGCUUUUGUAACCUGUUCAGUGAAUGUUAUGUUCAAGUAUGAAUGAAGGUGUUUAGACCUUCCUGAGUUCAGCAUCUUCGAUCUCCUUUUCUUGUCUCCACAAUUUUUGGAAACCAAUAGUUUGUUAGCAAUAAGAAAUUCAUGUUUUCUAUUUUAUUUAAUUUUUUGUUUAAAUUCUUCUAUCAGACAGAAGAAACAAAAAAUGCAGAUACAAAUGGGCCAAAAGGAAUUAUAAGUGCAAUUGGAAUAUCUAUCAUUGUUGGAUGGGGUUACCUUCUUGGUAUCACAUUUGCAGUAACUAACAUACCACAGCUUCUGAGCACGGACAAUGAUGCUGGUGGUUAUGCCAUUGCAGAGGUGUUUUAUCAAGCCUUCAAGAGUAGAUAUGGUAAUGGAGUUGGGGGCAUUAUUUGUUUGGGCGUAGUUGCUGUCGCCAUAUUUUUCUGUGGCAUGAGUUCAGUCACAAGCAACUCUAGGUGAUCAUCUCUCCACCGAUAGCUUCCUACAUAAUUCAUUGUUAUGGUAAUUUCAACCUCCUUCGUUCUUUAUCAGCUACUUAUGUUUCCUUUUAUUUAACUUGCAGGAUGGCAUAUGCGUUCUCAAGAGAUGGAGCUAUGCCCUUUUCAUCAUACUGGCACAAAGUUAACAAGCACGAGGUCCCUCUAAAUGCUGUCUGGUUCUCUGUUUUUAUAUCCUUUUGCAUGGCAUUAACGGUUAGUAAAUCUUGGUUUUUCAUUUUAUCUAUGUCACAAUAUUAUAUGGAUUUCCUAUCUGUACGUAUAGUAUGAAGUCUUACUUGCCUAGAACUUAGCAGAGUGGUAGUUUGUUAUUCAAUAUUAUCGCAAUAUUGCUGAGUUACUCUAAAGUUCAUUAAGUAUGGAUCAUUCGAUGUUGAUGGAGUUAUUCCUCAUUUUGUGUAUAUAAUGCAGUCUCUCGGGAGUCUUGUGGCUUUCCAAGCUAUGGUGUCAAUAGCAACUAUUGGGCUUUACAUUGCUUAUGCCUUACCGAUAUUCUUCCGUGUGACACUGGCCCGCAAGUCCUUCGUUCCAGGACCUUUCAACUUGGGACGCUAUGGGGUAUUGGUGGGUUGGGUUUCAGUUCUUUGGGUGGCAACCAUCACAGUUUUAUUUUCUCUUCCUGUGGCUUAUCCCAUCAAGACGGACACUCUGAACUACACUCCUGUUGCAGUUGGUGGCCUUCUCAUCAUUACUGUUUCGUGGUGGAUUGUUAGUGCACGACAUUGGUUUAAAGGUCCUAUAACUAACCUAGAUAGUUAAAUAAACAUGUGAUAUUGAUUGUCCAUUUACUAUUAGUUGGAACUCCUUUUGUUCUCAGUUGGGUCUAUUUCCAUAUCUCAUUUUGUACAUCUGAAGCCAGUAAAGAGCCAUCAGAGACUACUUCAGUCCACCAACUGCUACUUUCCGCAAAAAAAAAUGUACAGUUUUGUGGUGUCUGUGUUUCUGAUCAUGGAUUCAAAGUAAUUGUAUGAUAAGGAAUACAAUACUAAAAGAGACAAUUGAAACCUCAAUUCACAACAUAAACUUUGUUUCAAAAUGUUCAUACAUUCUUUCAAAUUUAGGUGUCUGCGCCAUUUGCAGUUCCUAAUGUAUCCUAUGCAAUCAGUAUGAUUAUCACGAAAUGAGCCCUUUUGCGAUAUUAAGUGAGAAAUAGAAUAACCGCAGUUUAGUGUCAAGUAUAUAUUCUCAUUGACCUUCACCAUCCCUCAUUGCACUUGAUACCUCAUCUCAGAAACCCCCACUAAUCUUAAUUUAGUACCAACAUUAGAAUAGUUUAAUCAUGAUUACUGACACAAACACAAGUAACAAGUUUUAUCACUUGUAAUGGUUCACCAAAUUGAAAAACUUAAAUGAGCCAGGCCCAAAUCUAAAAGCUAUCAUAACAUUGGAAGCAGGUCUCUGGCCCCAUUCGGAUCCCGAGUCAGUUUAGUUAAGUGCAAUCCCAAUGGGAGGGCAUUUGAGCGAAAUGCCUUCUCAGCUAAAAUUCCUUUGCCAAUGGAACAGUGGGUCAAACAUUCAACGGUGGAUAGAAGUUCCAAUGGCAUUUGAGAGGGGAGUAGAGUGCCAUCCAAAAUACCAUGUUAAUUGCAUAAGACGGAACACCGUGUUCCAAUUUAACACUUUUUCGGAACACACAGUUUCGUCUUAUACACUUUAUAUGUUAAUUGCAUAAGACGGAACACCAUGUUCCGGUUUAACAUUUUUUUGGAACACACAGUUUCGUCUUAUACACUUUAUAUCUUAUAUGAAAGUUGAAGUUCCGUCUUAUAGACUAACUUUUCAGGAACUCUAAAUUUCGUCUUAUAAACCAUUUAAUUUUUGUAAACUGACAUUUUCAAAUUUUCUCGUGGAGAGAGUGAUUUUGAAGGUGGUUUUGCUUACGUGGCACAUACAUAGAGUGCACCAAACUGCCCUCCUAUUGGGAUUGCUCUAAAGAGAAGCAGAGAACUUUAGCGGGAUUGAUAAAUUGUUCGAAACUUCAAAUCGUCGAACGAAUCAGAUUCUCUUUCUCCAACACUUCAGUCUCGAGAUCAAGAAGAAGAAGACAGCUUUCUCUUAAAAUGGUGAUUUCUCUCUCUCCUCUCUCUCCUCACUUUCUCUCUUUUCAUCGCGUGUAAUUUAAUUUAAUUUAGAUUUUUUUUUUCUGAUUUUCUUAUUUUCUAGGGUUUUGAUUGUUCUUUUUUUUAUACAGGAUGAUUCAAUAGAAGAAGAAUUCGAACCACUUUUUGAUUAUAGUCGAGUUCAACCAAUCAAUUUCAUAUCUAUUGAUGGUAAGUUUGAACUUUUUUUGGUUUUCAAUUCGUUCUUCAAUUUUAUUUAUUUAGGUUCUUCAGAUCAAAAUUUCGUGUGUUAUUUAUAGACGAUUUAUCUGAUUCGGAGAAUGCGUUGAUUCCAAAGAGAUUAAAGAAAGAUGAGAAGAAGGAAGAACCAGUGGUAAUUGGUUUGUUUUUAGUUUUUAAAUUGUGAAAUUUUUAGUUUGAGAUUUGGAAAAUUUGUGCUUUUUGGUUUAUUGGUUGUUUGUUUGUUUGUUUUUGUGAUUAGAGUGGAAAUGUUGUGAAGGCCACUGUUUGUGAGGUUAUAGACGAAGAAGAUUGGUUGCCGCCACCACCGAAGACUUUGAAUGGUGCCCGGAAACAUGACCAGGAGAACUCAACGAUAAAGGAGUUAAGGUGAAUACAUAUAUCCAUAUCAUCUAUGCAUUGUUAUAAGGCUGUUGCUGUUGCUUUUGUUGUAGAAAGAUACAAUUUUGUUUAGCAUAAGUUAGAAUUGACCUGGUAUGGACCAGAGCUUCCUUGUAAUAUAAACACAUCACAGCAUAAGUGAGAACUGAGCUGAUAUUUCUAAAUCGUAGAUAGAGUGGUAAUAAACAUUACUGUAUUCCAUUAUUUAACAACACAUGGAAAGAAAAAGUAGGAUCGUAGGAGUAACAGAGCUGUACCUUGAGGUGAAUGAGCCAUCUUAGAUUCCUUAGUUAGGAUCCCAUCAAACCUUUUGACCUCUAGCUUUUAUAGAGGCUUUAAUUUACUACAUAUGGACCAUGUUCUGUGGACUAAGCUUAUGCAUAAUGGAGUUGGGAUAAAAGCUUACUCGUAAGAAGCAUAUGGUCGAGGAAUUAAUUAUUGGAAGUUGAUUUUGUUGCACCCAAGUCUUACCGUGUUGUUAUCUGAGUUGAAAUUUUUUGUUUGUCAUUUAUAAGAGUAAUAUAUGUGCUCUUCUGGGUGAGCCUUUCUCCAGGAGUAUUGGAAUAAGCUUCCAAUACGAUUAUGUUGUUGGAUUAAGCUUUAAAUCCAUUGCCUUUUCUGACAAUAAUAGUUAGUCUUUCAAAUAAUCCCCAAUUUCAUAAGUAGUAGUUUUUGCAUUAUUGAGCUUAAGUCACACUAGUUAAAUUAUGCAUGUUACAUAUUCAGCUUUAGGUUUUGGGAGGGUAUGAAUGCAAAAAAAGCUAGAUUUUGUGAGGAUGUUUCCCAUGGUUUGCACAACUUGGCCUUAGGUAGUGUGAUGUGAUAUCUGUUGAAAAGUUUUUAGUUAGACUGUUAGAGAAAAAUUGAUGUCUUUCUACUUUUGAGAACACGGAUUAGCUGAUCUUGGGUUGUCAACAUUUCUCAUGGGGUAUAAACAUGGCAGCUGUUUGCUGACGUGGUUGGAUAAAAGGAUCAUCAACAUGUUGGACUCGAUCUGGAUCAGCUCUUUCUUUAGUAUCGAGUUUUUUAUAACAUCAGGUUUUCCAUGGGGUAAAGUGUGGAUAAAAUUGAUGGUUUCCAGAUUAUGGGUAAAGUCAACUUGGUCAGUAUUUGGUCUCUAUUGGGAGACUCCACCUAGUAAGUGUGCUGUAUUCAUAGUUUGUCAUCUACUGUGAUGUUUCUUUACAUUGUGUUUGUCUUUAACUUCUUGUCCCUUUUCUUUCCAUUUGAUUAUUUUAUCGCUCUUCUUUUAUGCAUACAUUAAUUUAUCUAAUUUAUACAGGUUAAAGAAGCAGGAAUUGGCUUCAUUCGCUCAAUCAGCUGAAGAGGUGAUCCGAGCUGUUGAGGAGUCUGCGAAGAAACACGUUGCUAGUACUAAGCAAUCUUCUUUGGGAUCUGAGCAGGAAAAGGUGGUUUCAAUGCCUCCCGAUGACAGGGUGAAGAUUAUUAUAUCUAUUCAGGACAAAGAAGGACAAAAGCAAUUUCGCACAUACACGGUACAGUUUCAUUUGACUAGUUCUGUCUUUGUUCUCUUCCCCACUUCCCUUAUUGUAUAAUAUUGUUUUGAGCAUGUAAUAAGGGCAUUUGGAUCUGCUAGAAAUUUAAUACGUUGUAUUUUAUCUUUCUUUUCGUUUUUAGUAUGUUAAUAUGUUUAUAUUUUGUUUCUUCGUCAACUUUUAUUACAAACGGCGCUAUAAAUGGGAAGGGCUCUUUAGCAAUCUAUCCCAGCAAAAGAACUAAUAGUAGGAUAAAGUUAAUCUAGAGCCUACGUAUAUAACCAUGGCCGUUUGUUUAAGAGAUGACCUUUCUUAAUUCUGGUCUAAAGGAUUAAGCUAUCAAGUUAAGAUCCAGUUUCUAUUUAAGAUGGACAUGAAGAAACUAUGUAGACCAUCUUUGCAUUUCUUCUCUUCUUUGUCUCUCUCAGAUUCCUGAAAUUGAGAUUGCUGUAUGCUAUACUUGUCUGGGCUUUCCUCACUUAUUUGAUUGUUUAAGUUAUUAUAGAUACCCUUCAUUGAUGAUCUAUGCUCCAAACAUUCUCAAAGACCAGAAGAGUAAAUGGAAAAAUCUUAUAAUAAACUACAAACAAAUCAGAUACCUAUGAAAUUAUUAGUGCCAAAUUGAUGUGAUCCACUUCAGGCCAAAUGUGUUGUGUCCCCUUGAUCAACGAAAAAGCAAAAAUAAAACAAAACAAAAAAUGUGGAUCUUUGCAGAAAGAUGCUGCUUCUGACAUCAGUUUCUGAUUGAUUGAAUGAUGAAAGAUUGAUUGGAGCAUCCAGUUUAUGCAUAUGCUGUUGUGCGUGUUUCUGUGGCUCAGGCAUCCUCAUAUGCUUAAAGGUCAUCUAAUCCCAGGAAUUCUUAAAAGAUGGUCUUUUGGAACACAGCCUGAAUGAUCCCAAGGAAGAGGACAUCAAUAUGGCAAACUUGAUCAGUUUUCUUUCUCUGGAUAAUACGCCAGGUCGCCAGCCAGCUGAACCAUGUUCGAUGUUAUAUUUUAUCACCUUGAGAUUUGCGAAGAGAGUAAUUUGUGUUAGUGUGUAAUCUUCCUACCUGCAUGUUGAUAUAUAUAAACAUGUGGUUCUUGGUACAAUUGUGGAAUAUACGGAGCUUAUUUUCUGAUGUAUGUGUUGUGCGGCUGAGUUAAUUUAAUAUGCUUGUUUUCUAGAAUGUAAAGUGGUGUCAAUAUUGUGAUCUUCCUAAAGUGACCCUUUUCUUCCCAACUAUGGAUAUCUGCAAUGGUGUCUAUAUUGUGCUAAAUAUUUCGUUCAAGUUCAAAAAAAAAGUUUAAUUUAUCUCUAUAAAUAUCAACUAGUUUUUGUGUUUCUCUAUAUUGUGUUAAAUUUUUUCUGUCUGAACUUUGGAGAAAUCUUAAGAGGGAAGUUAUCUCUUCACUAUGUAACUCAGAGCUAACCACAAAUAUUUAUUUUCUCUGACUGUAGGAUGAAAAGCUUGAAAGAGUCUUCAAAGCAUAUGCUGAGAAAAUUAAUCUGGACGUAGGGAGCUUGAUCUUUUGUUUUGACGGGGAUAAAAUUAGUGCCACUGCAACCCCUGGUGAACUUGAUAUGGAGGAUAAUGACAUCAUUGAAGUGCGUACAAAGUCGAGCUAAAGUCUGUGCUAGUACUUCAGUAGUUCAGUGGCAUUGGUUUUUGAGUUUGUCUAUAUGAUAUUGAUUGUCUACUUUAAUCUUUUUGCUAAUUUUGGUUGGGAGUGAGCUUCGAUAAUUGUAAUUAAUAUAACUCUGCGUUAAAUUCAGAAAUUCUAUCAAGUGGAUUUGAACUUGAUUGGUGGAAAGGCCAAUUUUGUAAUCACAAUGAUUGGACUGCUAUAUUUUGGAAAAUAUAAUUAUCUAUGGUACAUUGUUACGAUGUUUUUGGUAGCUCAAACACUUUUUAAGUCAUCUCUUUGCCUCGUGUGUUCAUAAAGGAAUAGAUGAGCAGAUGAUUUUGCAGGAGGAUGAGACUCUUGUUGUUGCCUGCAAAUUAAGUAGAGAACGGAUUGGCAAAAUAUUGAUUCAGAUCUGGCUGAGUAUUGGUUCAGCACUAAGUCAAUUGUCCAGAGAGUUUGAGGGUUCUUAAAACAGAUGUUUAAUCCGAACCAUUUCUGAUCAAUGGUUCAACCAGCCUGCCAGACUGCAUCAAGGUUGAAAAGGAUAAAUACAAAUUUGCACCUACCUUUGUAAGUUCUGCAUCUAGAUCAGCAAAGUGUUCACUUCUUUUUCGCCAGGUUUCAUUUGAUUUGUGGAUUGGAUGAUGGAAAAACCAGCAAGCUAUGGCUUCAAAGCCUACGCGCGCAGUGAACUAUUAUUGUGAAAAGGUUGGAAGAUCUGGCCAAAGAAGGUGAUAACCCUGUAGAUUCGUUCCCAUGGUUCGAUCCUUCCCAGUAAGGUUUGAGUUAUUGACACUUGAGAGGUGUCUUGUGGUUUACCUUCGAGUCUGCUAACCUGAUGGUUUUGUUGGUCAAACAAGUAGUUUACUCUCAAUGGAAAGAGCCACCAUCUGAGAUGACAAGUUUUGGUAAUGUAUUUUGUGUUGGUUGGGGAAAGACAAGCGGAUGAAUCUGUACACAGGCCAUAUGAUUAAUGUUGUCAGUGGUUUAUUAAUUUUAAGUAGAAGAAUUGUAGUGGUUUAAGUCAAGUUCUCAUCGAUUAAUGUCUGUCUGUCUGCCACAGUCUUGCAAAUCAGGUAGUAUUAUCAAACUUCAUAGAUGUUAAUCAAAAGUUCAAAACUAUUCAUGGCUGGUGGUUCAAUAAGCCUGACUGCAUCACCAAUCUUGAUAAGAAAAAAAAUAUUACUUCAGGGUGAAAUUUUCAGAGGGGUGUGUUGUGAGAUUCGGCAAGUGAAUGGGUCACGACCACUUUAUUUAGCUUCCCAAAACAUUGUAAGCUUUGUUACGGACAUGCAACUACUUUAGGAAGCUAAGGAUUGAAUUUCUGUCAAUAUUGUGUGUAAGCAUUCCAUUUGCGAUUUCAAUCUCUACAGCAUUACUUGAUUGAAGAAUGGAAUGAACAAAAUAGCACCAUGAUGUUUUCAAAUUAGGCUCAUUGUGACAUGUCAUUUUCCAAGUAUGCUACGGUUGAAUGUUCCCCUGUUCCAUUUGUACCAACUUGAAUGUAGACAGGGCCAACAACUUGGAUUAUAAAGUAUUCCCUGUUGCUAUUUUGAAGAUACUUCCAGGACAUGAAAUGUAGGUAGGGCAUUACUUACUGAACCCUUUAAGAUAUCAUCAUUUCUUGAACAAACAAAGAUAAAAAGAACAGGAAAUAAGAAGAAAAAAAUGAAGAUAUAUCAUCAUUGCGAAGAGGUUGGUUGGUUACUCCGAGAACAAAAAUGUAUCAUGUAGCCAAUGAGAAAAUGGCAGAAGUACAUGGUGCACAAACCCCACCAGCCCUCAACUACCUUACAGCCAGUAACAGAUACAGAGCCAACAAGGGUAAGAUUCAAGAAUGAAACAGAACAGCUUUGCUUUCAACUACCAACUGAAGAGUUUAUUCUCCUUGGUUUCUCCACAUGAGCCGAUAGCCACCACCCAUAUGGCCACAUCUAGUUUACAAUAUUUAUGUAAUCUCCUCAGCAUAUUUAUGAUAUAGUUUUAAACUUUUAAUCAUUGGUAUAAGUAGUUUCUCUUCCCCAAUUAUGAAAUUCUUGGUUAUAUACAAAGCAACUUACCCAACUCCUGUCCUUAUUUAGCACGCAUGAACCUCUCCUGCUCAGUGAGGGCAUGGCGGAAAUGACAGCGGUGACCAUAGGGGCAAUUGUCUCCAGCAAGGACCAUUCUGCAAACCUCAGUCUUGUAGCGUGGGUGACGAAUUACAGGUCGAAGUUCAUUGACGCCGUGAGCAAACUGACAGUGAUCCCCAUAAGGACAGGCUCCAGUCUGUUGCCAUUUGUUGCAGAGCUCUGUCUUGAACAUCCCUUGAUUGAACACAUCAAACUCCAGUGCUUCCUCCUCUUUGUUUCCUCCCGGGACAAAAACGCGUUGCUGUUCCAUUCCCAUACAUACAAACAGAAAUGUAACCAAUUAAUCUGAAGUAAUCACUAAAGUAAAGAAAUGCAGUUAAGAUCAUAUUAAAAACAAAAGCGACAAGAUCAUUCCAAUCCAACAUUCCUGUACAUUUCUUUGGUAACAAUGAUUUUAUAUUUCUGUGCUCAACAAAUGAGGCACUAGUUCUUAAUAGGUUAUGAAUCUCUAUUGGCAAACAAUAUGAAAUGUUGACAGUGAGAUGUUUAAACAUUUUCAAGCAUCAACCAUCUCAAAUUCGAUUAAUCUCCUCUCAUUGACAUAAUAACAUACACUCUUCACUAUACACAAUAAUUUGGAAAUUUUUGAAUUGCACUGUUACAUUGAUGAUAACAGGUCUAUGACAAAAUUACUCUACCAAAACUAGUCUGAAUGCGAAAUCAAGCUGUAAGUAUAACAGAAUCAAAACGAAGCAAUCUAGGUUCUGAUAAUGCAUUUACUACUGUAAACAGAAAAGGUUGAUCGAAUCCGUAAGAAUUACUGAAAUUGGGUAAAUCACCAAAAAGAACAGAGGUAGAACUGAAAUUAAAGGAAAUUCAUCAAAAGCUUACAGUUUCAUUAUCAACUGGACUCACAGAACGAGGUCGGUUGAUGCGAUUUGAAGCAGCGCUACUUCCACCAGGUUGAUUAGCCUUCAAGUAACCACUUGAACGAAUCGAAAUGCUCUUUGGCAAAGCAACUCGCUCAUCACCGCCGCUCUUCUUCUCAAACUGCUUGUUCUCAAUUACACUCGUAGGGCUGUUGUCAAUUACACUCGUAGGACUGUUGUCAGAAACAUCACCACUAGAAACAUCACCACUAGAAACGUGAUUGUUAAGUCCUCCUCCGUUACCGUUAUCUCCAACACACAAGUUACGGAAAUCGUUAAUAAUGGAUAAAGACGGAAAACCAGACGAAAGAUAACGAUUUCCAAGCGAAACUUGCGUUAAGAGUGUUAAACGCUUCGUCAGAUCUAAAUUCGCCGCUCGAAGCUUUACAUUCUGUUCACGAAGGUCUUCAGCUUCUUUGACCGCCUCUUGAAGAUGAGUAAGACAGAGUCCAUAACGAGCGACAAGUUCUUGAUAUUCUAAAGUUAAGCGAGCAAGAUAGAGACGGUUUUCAGUAGCAACAGCAGCACUAUUUUCUUCAAUACAUGAAGAUGAAGAUGGAGAUGGAGUGAAGGAAACCGAACUUCCAAAUGAUGAUGGUGAAGUAAACAGAGAUGAAUUGAACUUUUCAUUCGGUGUUGAAAACAAUUGUUUAUUAAAAGGAAUUGGAGAUAAGUUGUUCGCAUUAUUGCUUCCAUCACCGUAAGAAGAAGUGUGUCUCUGCAUUUAGCUGUUUGAGAAACAAAGAACAAUUAGAUAAUUUCAUCAAAUCGAUCGAUUUCCAGUGAAAUUCUAUAUAAUUACACCUAAAAUUACUUAAAACUCUGAAGAAAUCAAUUGAACUUGUUAGAUUUCCGAUUCAAUUGCUUCAUCACAGAAACUUAAGAACAUCUUACUAAUUCUUUCUAUGAAUCUGAUUUCCAAAUCAGAUAAACUCAAAAUCUUAACGAAAUCAGUUCAAUUCAUCAAUCGGUUUUAAGAACAGAGUAACAAAUGCUUGAAAUCUAACCUGAUUUUGCUGAGUUCCGUAACAAAUCUAGUUGAGAGAGAACGAAGAAGAAGAAGAAGAAGAAGAAGAAAGAGUAAUGAGAGAGAGAGAGAGAGAGAAGAGAGAGAGAGAUGAAAUUGAAAAUGGUUGUAAGAAAUGAAGAAAGAAAGAGCAAUGAGUUUAUAUAGAGCGAUACAUGUUACGCAUGAAGGGAACCAGCUCGGAUUUCUUCUGUUAAAAUUCCAGUAACAGAGUGCACGGUUGGCAGUUUUAGUCUUUUAGACAUAACAGUGCCAUAAAUGAAAAGGCAAGUUGAUCCUACGUGGCGUAACUAACUUACUAGAAUUUACAUUUAUAGCCUUAUUUUUAGUGUAUAUUACUACCUAUAGUAUAAGCUAUGAAAGUCUGAUUUGUAUAUGCUUUGUCAUUUCACUCUUUCAGCUUACGUAGUCACAUGGAUUUUACUCUGAUGAAGACAGUUAUGAGGUUGUGGACUGCUGAGAUUUCUCUCUACUGACAUUUUUGAACCAUAAAUGCCCACUAUUCCCUCUAUUUUAUUUUAUUUUGGUAAACUCCCUCUAUUUUUAUCUUUUUCAUAAUUCACUAUUCCCACUAUUGUUUUUUUUUUUUAUAAAGACUAUUCCCUCUAUUGAAAAUUUGAAAUUCCAUUGCCAAAUGCCAACUCAUGAUAUAUAUUGGUCAUGUAAAAUAUGUGAUUAUAUCAUCAUUUACUUGUACAAAAUGUUUUUGCAUUACUCUUAUUUUUGUGUAAUAGAACCUGUUCUAACAUCUAAAAGAUCAAUUUUCCACCAUCAAAGAAAAAACAUCAUAUCUAGCGCGUGUAUAUCUUUUUGGCAAAUAAUAAUAUUGCAAUUGAUCCAAAGGGUGUUUUUUUUCUCUAAUACAAUCUAAUUUAGUUUUCUGAUUCAGAUUAACAACACAUUUUUUGGCGGUCCCAAUCCAAGAUUACAUUCAUAGUACUAUACUAGAAACAGGAUGGGGGUAGGGUAUCAUAUAUAUUACUGUUAAAACUUUGGAAUAAGAUAUCUAACCAAGACAAGGGGCCAUGCCAUUGGAGUUGGUUGUUAAACAAAGAAAGAGAGAAAGGGAUGUGUGGCAUGCAAGAUUGUUGUUGCUACAAAGGCUUAUGAUUGAUGAUGAUUGCGUGGCUUGUAAGAUUGGAUGGUGGUGGUGGUGGUGAAUGGUGAUAAAGGAUCUGUUUGGUUGUCAUGAGGUGGUGGAUUAAGACAACCUCUUAAGCCAUGUUUUUGUAUAGUUGCUUCUUUAUCACAACUUUAACUAACACUUUAUAGUUCUUCUAUCAAAUCCUUUACAAAAUGUUUGGUGGAAUUAACUUAAAACCCACACCCUUAAACAUAAUCCACCAUAUUCUGCUUGGCAGUUUGUGAUAAAAAAAUUUGUAUAUUAGACUAUUAGAGCUGCCAAUAAGUCCAUUUCCAUGAGUUCAUUCAAAUCAAUCUUAUUGGAUCAAUUUUGGCUGAGUUUUCAGUAUUUAGUUGGGCUUAGAAUUUGAGGUUCUAUAAGGAUGGCAUGUUACACAGAAUACGAUCAUGUCCGACAAAGAAAUGGACUCAUAACACAACAUAAAUGAGCCCAAAUUAAAGCGGCCCAAUUGAAUUUUGGAAGUUGAGGGACUUCACACUCCUUUGAUUUGGGACAUGUCAGUAAUGCCUUCUAGAAACUUGAGAUUUGUUGUUUAUGAAGAGGAAGCUAAAACUUAUCCCAAAACUCCACUCUUAUCUUCUUGAUUGUUAACUGGGUGCAAUUAACCAGAUAUUAUUUUUUUUGCAAGAAAUUCUAAUUUCUAAACUUUUGUAGGGUGCAAAUAAAAAGAAGUAAUCCAUGCAUACUAGAACGUGGCAAGAGUAAUAGAAUUGAAUCUAUGUACCGUUGAAACUUUGGUGGGUGCAAAUAAACAAUGUAAAACCGUGGUCAGAAGAAAGCCCACAGGAAGAAAGAAAGAAUCAAACAAAAUGAGCACAUGUUUGGUGGGUGUUGUUAAAGUUUCAGAUUCCUCCGAUUGUGAUAUCUACCUGAAGUUAUUUGCGUUCAAACAAUCGGAGAUUAACUGCUUUCAAAAGUCCAACUGUCAUAUUCCUUUUUUCUGUCUUCUUUUCACAAAAGCUUUUAAGCUUUUUGCAAAUCAUUUGUCCUAUAUCAGGAUUCAAAGCUCAUUGUCUUUUACUGAUUUUGUAAAAUUUAGACUCUUAUCUUCUCCUACCUAAUUCUGGAAUGCCUUAUGACUAGGAUUUCAAUUUAUCUCAACAAAUAAGCUUAUGACUAGGAUAGUAAACUUCAAAUAAUAAAAAAAAAAGGGAAAAUACCAAGGAAAAGCCCUAGGCUUUUUAGAAGAUGUUUGGAAGAAAAUAAAUGUCUAAAUGUCUACAUAAGACUAUACAUUAUAUAAGUAUACUUUAAGUUAUUUAUAAUCAUGAAAAUAUAAGACCACACUUUGAUAUAGUUAUUGAUUUUAUUUAAUAAUGAUUAACUAAUUGCGUUUCAAUUUUUUUUCUCUAAUAAUUUUAAUUGAAAAACGACAAAAUUCUCGAGGGGGGCACUUCUAUUUUUUCCGUUAAAUUCAAUCGAAAAACGACAACAAUUCUCAAGAUCGCCCCCUUCACGUGUGGUCUGACAAGAACUUGACACGCGGAUUGAACUGAUUGAAUGUCGUUUAGUAUUUUCGAUUCAAAUCUAUGUAAACAAACAUUGGUGGAUGUAAUCUAAAUGAAAUUUUAUGGUCCUAGAAUCCAACCCUAGGUGCGAAUGUAUAACACAUUUGGCGUCUUCUCAAAAAUUAUUUAAGCUUGCUCUUUUUGAAUUUUUCUUUAUUAAAAUCACAUUAAUGUUCCAUCUUUACCAAAGAAAAAACAUUAAUAUGCCAUGUCAUUAAUCAACUCUGCCAUGUCAUUUGUGAUAUUUCCUAUUUUGAUCCGUGUCAUCCAUUGCAUUUGGCUAUUUACAUUUUACAGUGAGACACACUAUCUCUAGCUAGCUCUCUCUUUCUCUCCUGUUUGCUCUUUAUAAAUAGAGACAAAGCUUCUCUCACAAUACAUAUCUUCAUCAAAAGAAAAAAAAAAGCUUCUCAGUUCUCUCCCAUAUACAACCUCAUCACUAAACCAUCAUCAUCUUCAUAAACAAGGUCAGAGCUAUGAAUUUUGGCAGGUUUUUCAAGGACAAUGCCUCCUCUUCUUCUUCUUCUUCUUCUUCUCAGUUUCAUAGUUUCAUACAAGUUCCAAAUAAUAAUCGUCCUAACCAACAACCAGAGGUGAAGUAAUGCUUGCUUACAUAUAUAUUUUUAUCUGAUCUAUUGAAAUGUUUUAUAAGUUGUUCAUGGAUUUUAACUUUGAUUCUUAUAUGGGGGACAUCAAAAUGAAUCACAGGAAUCAAAUUUCUUGCAAGCUCGAGAAAAACUCCUACAGUGCUUUUGGACUGAAAGAAUUAUGGAAAUAAAUCAAAUAAAUGGUGAGCCAUAUGCGUACAACACAACCAUUUUGUUCUCUGAAUUGAUUUGGACUUUGGCUUCUCACUUUCUUUGUUCUUCCUUGGUGUGAUCUCAUAAAUUUUAACACUAGUUCUAAAACAUGCAGGCAUGAAUCCAGAUUUGAAGUGCUUUAGAUAUGAAAAAAAUGAUGGUUUUAAGCAAAAAGCAGUUUCUAACUUCUUAUCACCAACCCCACCGCCACACACAAAGAUACAAAACUCAUUUUUAUUUACUGAAAGGUGUUCAUGUGAUUUUUUUGUCUUAAUUAAGUACAAAAUUAUUUGGUAGUAUCUUAGAAGAUUCUAAAAUGAGGAAAAAAAAAGUUUAUAAAAAUUAACUACAAAUUAUUUUGUGCGUAGAUUUAUAAAAAUUCAAUGAUAGUAAUGAAUUUCUUAUAACAUAAGGGGUUUCAAUAAAUGAUAUGAUUCAAUUUAGAGACCGUGCGGAUCUCAUGAUUUGAUUUUGAAAUUUUAGAUUUGGAGAUUUCUUACAUAUUUCAGUAUUUCCCAUGCCUUUGUUGGUUGCAUAUAGCUAGGGUUGUUAAAUGAAAAAGAAUACUACUCGAUUUAUCUUUUGAUGUUAGGUUUUAAAAGUAACUAAUUACCAUAUCUACUUAGACCUAAUGUACCAUCAUAUCCGAGAGGCCUUCCAUUCUAGAUGGGAUUCAUUUCUGUUAGAGAAACUUUCAUUAAAGUAGUAUGAUCGAUCGCGACAAAUUUAAACUUUUAACUCGAAAAAGGCGAAACAAUCUCACAUUCAAACUAAAUUAAAGCCGGUCGCGACAAAUUUCAUCUUUUUACACAUAAAUGAUUUAAUUCUUUCUUUGAAAAGGGAUAAGACAUCUAUGUUAUGGUAGAAUUUAGUUUUGUUUGCAUGCUAUGUUUGCUUUUGAUCAAAAUGCUUCCUUUCAAAAAUACAAAAAGUUCCAAAAAUGGUUAAAUAAGGCCCAUUUGUACAAGGAUACAAAAAAGUUCUAUGGGCCUACUUACUCUCAUGGACCCAAUAAAUGGUUAAAUAAGGCCCAUUUGUAAGAAGAGAUCCAUGGGCAGGCAUGAUAGACAAUUCUCUUGAGCAAAUGUGUCACUGUAACAUGUUCAUCUUCAAUGUCGUUUCUAUCGUCAUUGUUGUUAUACAGUUGUAAUCUAUGUAGACCUCGAAGGUGCAAUAAAUUAAACUGGUGCAUAAAUCAUAAUAUGGUUAGUAUGUAAUUUUAUAAUUAUUUACUAAUUUACUUGCACAUUAGUAAUUGCAAAUGUCCAAUAUUAGAUCACAUAGAUUCUAGGUUAAUUCUAUAAUUUAUUUUAUUUACUAUAGUAUAUAAAUCAGCUUAUACUGUAGUUUCUAAUUCUUUAUUGAUUACCAUUUUUUUUUUUUUACCAUCAUUUAAAGUUACUAAUUAACUUCAUUUGAUUGUUUUCAGAUCUCAGGAAUCAUCAACUGCCCUUAGCUAGAAUCAAGAGACUAAUGAAAUCCAAUGAGGAUGUUAAGGUUUGGCAUAUAGUAAACUCAAAAUUAUUUACUUUGUUACUGUUUAACUUAUUGCACCACAUUCAUAGUUUUAUAGUUAAUUGAUGUUGAUAUUUAGCAUUAAAUUUAUAUUGUGACAGAUGAUCAGUUCCGAUGCCCCAGUUAUUUUUGCCAAAGCUUGUGAGAUUUUUGUUUUAGAGCUCUCACUUCGCACCUGGCUGCAUGCUGCAAGUAGUAGAAGGCAAACAUUGCGAAGGAGAGAUGUUUCCAGGGCUAUAGGCAAUUGUCAGACUUUUGAUUUUCUUCUUGAUAUUGUUCCAGAGUCACAUGAAGAGGUAUCUACAUGAUCAAAUAAUGUGUACAUUAGAUUUUGCUAAUAUAAAAAUCACAUCUAUGAAUAGAAGACCAGAACCUAUCUCUAACUUGAAUUGGUAUGUUACCUUAGGAUGAAGUUACUGGUGGAGGAAAUGAAGAGAAAGACGUAGAACCUUCACAAGAGCCUGAUGUGAAACCUUUUCCAGUGAUAGGACCAAAUCAAGUCCCGCAAAACUAUGCUGUGAGUAUGAGUAGGACAAUUUUUCUUACUGCUUUAUAAUUUACAUUACUUGCUGUGAUAUUUGGAACUUUGCAAUAAAUAACUAAAAUGCUUAACAUAGUAGCACAGCCUAAAGCUUAAGAUUGAUGAGAACAAUGUGUUUUACAGUGCCGAUAAAAUGCAUUAAAUCUUGAGCAUGGUCAUAAUGCUAAACCUAUAUGAUAAGGGACAAAUUCUAUAUAAACCUUUCUUCUGAGAUAGUGGUAGCAAAGUGUUGACAGAAAUUUGCAUCCUUCAUAGAUGAUAUAGAUAUUGAACAAUAACUUUCGUGCUUAUAAGUCCAAGAUCUUUGUUUUGUAAUAUGUUUUUAACAUUUUAGGAAGACGAAGUCACAGGACAAUGGAGGGGAGGAUGGCAGUCUAAUGGGAUGCAGUCUCAAUUGCUGGAUUUUAACCUUUCUAACAACUAUUUUUCCGUGAGUAAUAAAAUCACACCCUUUCUUGAUGAGCUAUAAUAUCGUAUCACUUAAUAACUAAGAUGCUCAGCACUAUGAUUAUGUUUUGUGCAAUAAAUAUGUCUUAUUUAUAGAUGCCAAUACAUCAUACAUAUAUCUCUUUUAUAUUUUGGCUACCAACUUGUUCAGUUAUUCCUAAGCACUGUGAAACAUUAAUCUCUAGUUGAUGCUUGCAAAGUUCUUGUAAGUAUGUCAUCGUGCAAACUGCAAAGCUGAUCCAGAAGCAAAUUCCUUAUCAAAGUCCAGUGUCUAACUUGGAAUGAUGGUCAUCAAUGUCAUAGGGUGAAAAUAUGACCUAUCAAAAUGAAGUAGCAGCACAACCCCAACAGUUUAUUGCUUUGCAUCUGCCAAUGGGUGCUAAUCUCUUUUGACCUCUGCAAGUUGUCAGUAAACAAACUAGCGCUCGACAGAACACCCCAGCUUUACACAAAGUACCGAUGUGUUUGAUUAUAACUUCAUGAGCUUGAGAAACUAAUCUAAUUAAAAGUCAAUAUGAUUUAAUAAUAACGAAUUCCCUGAUUAAAAGUGCGCAGUUUAGAUUUUUCUAACCUGGAUUGAAAUGACUGUCGUAGGGCGAGUACCACGGAGAGCGUAGACGAGGAGCUCUACCUCGAGGUUCGGAUGCCGUGCAAAUUUCUCUGACAGGCGCUAAUCAUUUGCGGCUGAACAGUGCUUAUAAUGCUGUGAGUAAUAAAUAAUGCAUCCUUGUUUUGAUAUUUGCAAGUUUUAGUAGUAAACUGGGCUCUCGGCAGUAGACUACAACGCUGCUUUGUGUAAUGCAAAGAUUUCUGGCCAUAAUAUCAAAGUCAUAUAAUUUUUAAUCAAUGUUUCUGAUUAUAUCUUUCUGAGCUUGAGAUACACUAAUUUAAGUUGUAUAUAUGAUUUAGCAACGAAUUUUCCUGAUUAAAAGUGUGCAAUUUCGACUUCUAGCCUAGAUUGAUAUGUAAAUGACUGUUGUAGGGGGAGUACCUCGUAGAGAGUAGAAGGGAAGCUCUACCUCGACCAUCUGAGGCGGUGGAAAUUCCUCUGACAGGAACGAAUCAUUUGCAUCUGAACGCUGUGAGUGAUAAAAAAAUGCAUCCUUGAGUUUUGAUAUUUGCAAGUUAUAGUUGGUAAACGGGGCUCUCGACACUACAGAAUUGUUUUAUGUAAUGCAAAGAUUUCUGACCAAAAUAUCUAAGUCAAUUGAUUUUAAUCUGUGUGUCUGAUUAUAUUUUUCUGAGCUUGAGACAUACUGAUCUAAGUCAUAUGAUUUAACAACAAAUUCCCCGAUCAAAACUGCGCAAUUUAGAUUUUUAACCUGGAUUGAUAUGUGUGACUGUUGUAGGGAGAGUACCUUGGAGAGAGUAGACGGAGAGCUCUACCUCGGCCCUCUGAUGCAGUGGAGAUUUCUCUGACGGGCGGGACUCAUUUGCAGCUAAACAGCUAUAAUGCUGUGAGUAAUUACGCAUCCUUGUCUUGAUAUUUGCAAGUCUAGUUAGUUAUCUGGUUUCUCAACACUACAGCCCUGCUUUGUGUAAUGCCAAGAUUUCGAGCCAAAAUAUCAAAGUCAAUACAAUUGAUCAAACGUGUCUUGUUAGGCGUUAAUAGGUCUUGAAACAAAACAUUUGUUGAAACUUUAUAUCAUCUUUGGUUACAAAGUUCUGACUGAAGUAUGCCUUGGGAUUUCGAUGAACUUUGUACUCAGAAGUUUAAUGUUUAAGGUCCAACAUUAACAACAAGCUACCUGUAUAUGGAGGAAACAUUAUCUAAAUAUAAGGACCUUGUACACUGGAGAUUGGUCCAACAUUAGCAACAAGCAAUGAAAAACAAGAACUUUGUUUAAACAUUCCAUCAUGUCUUUUGGUUACAAAGCUUUUAUUGAAAUUGCCAUUAGAUUUAAGUAGUUUGGAUGAUUUUUAUGGUCAGAAGUACAUUUUAAUAUAAGGAUUCUUAUUUGGUCUGUUAUUAAGCAGGUACCACAUGAUGAAGAACUGAACGAGCUUACCAUAUAUGGAGGAAACAGGUUCGGACCAGAAUCUUCAUCGUCUAGCGAGCUGUUUUUCCCUACACUUGGGGACAAUCGCUUGAACCAUGACUAUAUGUAAUGAUGUGAGUAGUUAAAUUUAUGUUGUUCGUUUGUCGUAUGGGUUAGAUGGUGCUUUAGCACAAUAUAUUAAGAGGCAAAGUUUUGGCAUUUAGAUAAGUUAGAGGUUGCAAUAGUUUCAAUUUCAAAUUUUCAUUUAACAAAAUUCUGUAAGGUCAUGAAUGCAUUUGGAAAUUUGACACACUUAAUCCUACUUCUGAUUUUUGCAGUGAGGAGAUCAUGCCCGAAUACAGAAACGCUAAUGUGUCAUAUGAUAUGACGGUGAAGCCGUACGUAUAUGAGGGCUGCUAGUACACACGUAAAUAUAAAUAAAUAGAGUAUCUAUCUCCCUCUCAGUUUCCUGGAACUUCAUUAAGGGUUUUGAAACUUAUUAUGGUGAGGCUUUUAAUAUGUGUCUUGUGGUAUUGUAAUUUGACUAUCAGUAUGUGUGUUUUGUCACUUCAUGCUAUUGUAAUAUGACUAUCAGUAAUAAGUUUUACAAUGUUUAUGGUUUGAUGUUUGUUCUCAAUAGCUUGCUUAGAAUAUAAGCCUGUAUCCUGUAUCGAUGCCAUAUUGCUAUAUACCCAUCCCACAACUCAGCCAUCUUGCAAGGCCAUAAUUAGUUUUUCUAUCCACUCCUCGAACCCAAACUUGUCGAAGAAGCCUAGUAGAACAUUGUCCAUAUCUGCAACCAUCUGGUGAACUAUGUCAAUUGCACCUUAAGUUUGUUGUUUAAUUCCACUGAAAGCCUGAAACCUUUCAGUCUGACAGCCUGAGGGCAAUUGUGUCAGUUGAAGUUGUGUGGGAAUACAACGUCACUAUAACGCUGUAAUCACGUCAUAAGCAUGAACCAGAGUCACACUCUUGAUGUGCCAUAGUCUUCCUCGAAGGAAGAAAGAAAGUCCCAUAAAUAGUCAAUAAUUAGGCAAAAGAGAAAGUGCACUUCACAUUCACCUUUGUUUUUUCAAUUCUCGUGGGAAUUCCACCAACAACAAAGUAGACUAGUAGAGCAUUUUGGUCUACUUCUUGUCGAGAAAUCAGGCUACACAAAGCGGCGCGUGAGCAUCCUUUUCCUUCUGCACAAUCAACGGGAGGAACGUAGCAGAUCAUCCAUAUCCAUCUAUAUAUUUUGCAUGGAAUUUCUUAAAGGUUGAUUCACUACAACAUUACCUCAAAACUACUACAGUACUUGUAUAUCUUUGAGGACUUUACGCCAUUUUACUAAGAAAUUACAUGUUGUGAUCAACUUCAUUUCUACAACUUUUACCUUACAAACAAAAAUGUGUCUAUGUGGCUAUGUAAUCUGCAGUGUGCAAAGUGCACGCCUCUUCGUUUGGAUCUGUGAAUUUGUGAGUGGUAGCCCUGUGCACACUUUUAGAAGGGAAAAAAGAAAAGAAAAAAGUGUCACAGUGAAAGUUUAAUAAUCCAAUAAAGUGCUCAUUCGGUGAUCUUUUGGCAUAAUUUUAUAAUUGAUUAUCCAUUAGGGUGUCGAUUGAGAAGAGAAACAAAUGAUGGAAAUUAAAUCAAAUCAAUUGACAUGAUCAACUUGAUUACUAAUAAACCUAAUGGGAGGAUGGUCUAUCAUCAAUACCAUGAUUAGCCAAUCAUAUAUAUAUAUAGUAUGAUGAUGACUAAAUAUAUGCAUGAACAAAUUAAGGUAGAGAAAUAUAUACAUGAUUACUAUAGGUUAUGUAUGUGUUGUUGAUUGUGUUCAUCAGGAAGACAAUACAUCUAAAUUUCAAGUCUAAACAAACUGUCCAUGCAUCUAGUGGAUGCUUGUGUCACGAAGACAUUGUAAUAGAAGCAAAGUUUGUCAACUAUGGAUCCACACAUGAAACCAUAUAUAUCAUGCAUGGUGAUUGAUUGAGACAACCUACCAAAGUUUUUGUAACGAUAGCAGAAGGAAGAGAAUCUUGUUUGACUUCUGUUUUCUCCCUUUUCCUUUUCAUGCCAUUAGCAAUUAGCAUAUCUAUGUUAAUUAUGCACAAUAUGAUUUUAUCUUUUCAUUUUUGUUGUUUAGCUUCACCUUCUAGUGUCCAAUUUAGAAGUCUGGGUACCAUGUCAAAUAUUUGCUUAUCCAAAUUCUUAACCAUACAGAAUCAUGUUGUAGCUAGCAUUUUUCAAAUACAGUAUAGGUACGUUAAUUUUUCUCAGGUUACAAUUCAACUGUAAAUGAAAAAAUUCCUACAUGAUGAACACACAUGAUGUCAUGAUCUGGUAUUACUAAGCAAGUGAUGUGCAUGUGAUGUAGAAUGUAGUGGCACUGGAUUAAUGAGGUAAUUAACCAAAAUUGAGCAUAACAAGAGGACAGAAGCUAAAUUAUUGCCUCCUUAUUUCCUUGGUCUUCAUUCAACAAUGAGAAGGGAAGGAAUUUGAAAACUUCCAAGAGCAUUGGAAACCGAGUGAGUGGAAUGUAUUGCAUUUCCCACAAACAUUACCCUUGUGAACAAAACCCAAUGAAUCAAUAAAAAAGUGAUAAAAGAGAAAAUCCCACUCAUGAGUCAUGACAAACAAAGCUACAAGUUUGCCUUUAAAUACACCCCACCAUGUCUCCUCUCUUCCAUUCUAUUAGUAACUUGUUUUCUUUACUCUUGUUCAUCUCACUCUCAGCUUAUUCUUUUAAGUUCACCAUGAAUUCAAGUCAGGAACAAGAACUUGUUGAUUCAGGUGGAAGGUACAAAGGAAUUCGUUGCUGUGAAUGGCACAUUUGUAAUAAAUGUGACGUCUGAGGUUUAAACAACCAAAACAAACUAGGCUUUGCAAUUGUGCUCUCUUGUGUUUCUUGCUCAUCUUAUGGCAGAACCAGGAUAGCCAAGUUGCAUUGCGGGGAAUUGAGGGUACACGGUCCGAUUUUAGCUUAUAGUUUUAAAUUUCUUAUUUUUACCCCUUUCUAUAGGUAUUAUGUUUAAUGUGAACAUGUGAUGUAAGAGACGCAUUCAGGGUAGCUCAAGUGAUUUUGAGGCUGGUAGCUCAUCAUAUAUAGUAACAAUAGUUCGGAUUUGUAAUGCUUGCUGCUGGAAUGCAUCACUUACACUUGUCAUGUAAACUUUAUUAUCUUGAAUGAAAUAUAUAUAAAUCAUCUUUUAUGGAUUAAUAAUUAUGCAAAUGUAAAAAAUUUAUCCUUUUAAUUAAGCACCAAGCUUGGAGGAGUGUGGAUUCUGUUAGUUCCAUUGGUUAGUAGCUAGCCAAUAUACCUAGUAGUUAAGAAGAACUUAAGACUAAUGUAUAGUUUUAGCUCUAUGCCUCUACACAUUAAUGUACCAAAUAGAAACUACACUCCUACAUACUGCAAAUUUUCUUUUAAACCAAAAUGUCAGUGUAGAUUGGUAGCUAGGUAUCACCCUAAAAGUAUUGACAAAGUAAGUCGCUUUAUACAAUGUGAUCUGAAACAAAUGGUCAUAUGCAAAUGACUUUACAAACACAUGGAUCAUGGAUGUGACUUUAUACAGUGGUGAAAAAGAAUGUGGGGUUGUGUUCACACUUCACAAUGGGUUAUGAUCAGUCUUCUAGCAUUGCAUCCAGUUGAUAUUUGCAUAAUAUAUUUUUUUACCAGAAAGAACGAACAGCAUGAAGAAAUGUUUUUACAUUAAAAUUUGGAACAUGGAACACCAAGUGCAAGCAAUCUGUUGUUAAGUCUUGAAUCAUAAGACCGAUUGCAUUUUGGGGUUGGCACAUAAAACUCUUCAGCCCAAUGUAAUGGGCCUUAAACUACACUGUUAUUAUGACAGGCUAACAUGUGGGUGUUGGACAGUCCAUUGUAACUUGGUAUUGUAUACAUGGGCUUCUGAUGAUACACUGGUAUGUUGGGAUUGCAACCUUAGCCAGUAGUACUAUACAGUAGUUUGUGGCAUAUAGUGCAACACUUUCCAAGAGACUUAGCAUCAGUACAUUAUGGGUUGUUGAUCGCUAGUACAAGUUCAAACUGCCUUCCUUGUACUUUUCAUCUGUGGUACUGUGCUACUUAUUUGUACCUAGAAGUCCUUUUCCACUGCACAGUCCAGUACGUCCAGUUGUGAAAAUGAAAUAAGUUAGGUAUGUUGAUAACUUGAUAUUGCAUGAAAAUAUUGUGUGCCAAGAAACAAAUUUGGUGAUGAAACAUAUUAGACUGUCUCCAACGGGUUGCUAUUUUCUCAAAAAGUUGCCAAUUUAGUCUCCAACCGGUUGUUAUUUUGUUAUAUUUUUUUUAUUUUUUUGUUAUUUUCUUAAAUCCGUUUUCAAAUUUGAAAAAACUUUCGAGAAAAUGAAGAUAUAGCAAUAUUGAUAUAAUAUGCAUUAACUACCGUUUUCCAAUGAUUACAAAGGCGGAUGAGUAUCAUCAGCCUUCAUGAGUUAGUGGCGGAUGAGAAAUUGGUCACCAGCCUUUUGGUAGUGAAAGAGAAUGGUUGGUGACAAUUUUAACUUUAUACAAUCUCUUUUAUACCCUUUCACUUAUAUUCAUAUAUAUAAAACAAUAAUAUAUGUCUAAGAGGGUAUUUUUGGAAAUGAUUUGCAUACGCGGUUUUCAAUUAAUAUGCAAUGAAUAUUAAAAUUUUGUCUUGUACAUAUUUCUUAUCCGCCAUUUAAGUACGAAGGCUGGUGAGCUAAAUAUAACAAAACCGGUUGGAGUUGAUUUUGGAAUUUUUUUAUAAUUAUAGAAAUAGAAAUAACAAAAUAGCAAAAAAGAACUGUAGGGGUUGGAGAUGGUCUUAUGCUGUUCUUCUUCUUUUUUUGUCUCUUUUGGAUAAAGAUAUCUAUUAUGUUAAAUCUCACUAAAUUAUAUUUUGAACUUUGCAAUUGCCACAAUGCCACACAUGUUUGGACUCUAGUAAUGAGGAAAUGCCAAAUUUGUUGUAGGGGUGGGCAAAACCGAUCCGAAACAUGUAAACCGAACCGAACCGAACCGAUCCGAACCGAAAAUAGGGUGUUUACAUGUUUCCAUGUUCGGUUGCAGUUUCUAAUUUGGCAAAACACCUGCUUUGGGUGUUCGGUUGCAGUUUCGAAAAUUUUCGAACACCCAAAACCGAACCGAACAUGUAUUUUGUAUACAACCCACUACAGCCCAUCUCUCCAUAGUCCAACCCAUCCCAUCUGUCCAGGAGUCCAGCCCAAUAUCCAAGUAUCCAACAGUGAACAGACCACUACAUCCCAUUUCAGAUUUUCAGAUUUUUCAAAUAUAUCAGUUUUUCGGUUCGGUUCGGUUUUAUUCGGUUAACCGAACUUAAUUAUAUGUUCGGUUCGGUUUCGGUUUUAGUUAAAAGUAUUCGGUUCGGUUCGGUUUUAAAAAUAAAAAAGUUCGGUUUCGGUUUAGACUUUUGCAAAACACCUGCUAGGUGUUCGGUUGACAGUUUUGUCCAAAACCGAACCGAACCGAACCGUGCCCACCCCUAAUUUGUUGAUAAGAUAUAAUAUGCUCAAUGUAUGAAUGCAGACAAAUCAAGAAGAAUAUUAUGAUGCACACCACAAUGAUAACAUGCAUAUAUAAGAAAAAGAAGUAAAGAACACAUGAUUUGUGUGAGGAACAGAAGACCAGAGAAAAGCUGUGAGUAACCUUACUCAAAACAACUAAGUGAAACUCAUAAUACAGGUUGUCUUUUCUUCUCAGAAAAUAAAAUUCUUGUUAAUAUGGUCUUGGAGCUGCCUAAAACACAACAUAGAUAUGAUCAUUAUGCAAACUUGAGAACAGAAGGUGUGUACCUCUGGAAGAAGAAUUUUAAACAUCUUUGAGUCUACAAGAUGAGAAAAAGAUAUACUGUAUAUAUAUACAUAGCUCUCAAGUCCACAAGAGGAAGAAGACGUGAAAAUUUAUAUUGUUGCACAAAAAGCAUGAUGUAUUCUUUGUCUCAAAAGUAAGCACUCAACAAAAAGCAUGUAUUCUCAAAAGUUUUCGAAUUUAUUUCUUUGUACAUAGAUAAAGAUCCAUGUUCUUCGAUCAAAUUUGCAACAAAAAAUGAAGUAUAAUUUCUCAACUAAAGGAAACUACAUAUGCCUGAAAUCACAACUAGUAAGCACUGCAAAGUUUGCUGGCUAACAUAGAGUAGUCUGGAGAGAAAUGUAAGUUUUGUUGAUACAGACAAUUUCCCACAUUAUUCUUAGAACAUGUACAAGGACUAAUCGGGGCAGUAAUCUUGUAACAUUUAUUCUCGAUCACUUCCAAUCAGAACUCACAAGUCACACCUGCUAUUUCAUAUAUAGUGCCCCAAAGGGGUCAAGCUUUUGUUGAGGCAAAAAUACAUGCACCAUGCAAGAUAGAGUUCAAUUGGAGACUUGCAGCAAUCUUUCCCUUACAAUGUACGCCCACGAGCACUGGCAGCUUUUGUUAGCUUCCAGAACCAUUUGAUCAAAGUGUUGUGGGCACAGUUGUUGUUUGGGCUCUGCAUGACCACUAGCUUCUGAAGACAAGGGUAGUAAUAUGAGUUUCCGUAGCGCUUUUACCUUUUGUGUCUCCAUAUCAUAUAUGUACCUGUACUUCAGUGUGUGAUGGACUGGUGCUGGUACCUACUGCCAUGAAGAAGGGAAGCAUUUGUAGAAGAUUUUUUUUUGGGGGGGGGGGGGGGGGGGGGGGGGGGGCCCAUUUUUAAAAAAAAUUUUCUUUUUUAUAUUUUUUUUGGGGGGGGAGUUUGAAAAAAACAGAAAGACAUAUGUAAUCCUUUCACACACUUUAGUUCACUCCCUAAUGCAUCUAGACAUAAAAAAUGAAAGAUACCUAUCCAGGCCACAUGAAAUGUAAAACCAAAUAGGAGAAAUUCUUGGCAUAUCAGAUCUCUUUUGAUACAAAAUAUUCUUCCCUACUACUUGUGAGAUUGGACUUGUUUUGGCAUAGAUGCCGCAAGUUCCAGACCUCCUGACCCCUCUAUGCCAAAACAAGUCCAAUCUCACUUGUUAAUCCAUCUGAGCUAUUGAAUGGUCUGAAUCACAAUGACUAUCCGUCAUUAAUCACUGAUUUAAAUACCUGCUGAAGUUAGUCCCUCGUUAUAUCAGUCUCAUGAUCAAACAUAUAAACAACAAGACAAGGUAGAAUAGGAUCUUAAGUUCACAAGCUUUAGUUUUCUUAAGCAUUUAAACUUUUCUAUAUAUUAGAACAAUUACAAAAGAAGAUCAUACUGAAACCCCAUAAUGAUAAUGACUGCAUAAGUAAUUUUUCUAUAUUGAAAAGAUAAUUAAGAAAAAAUCAACUCGAUCUGAAAAAAGUCACAAAUUACUUCUCACGCAAAGGGAAUUCACCUUUUAGUAAACUACAAUGUGAUCCAAUAACUCAUUACUCAGUUCAUGCUCUCCAUUUUUCCUAAACUGAUUAUAGAAAUUAGAUGAUACUGUGUAUGUUGAGGGUUUUCAAAGAGCAAGAUGUAGGUAGCCCAGAGACGAUAUUUAUAACACUGUGAGAACAGAAUUGUAUGAUUGUAUGUCAUGUAAUUAACAUGAUCCAUCUGUCCGGCCAGCCAACAAAACAUUCAGUAGUUGCUCACUAAAGAAACUAACUAGGUCUAUUUCCCUUAAUUUUGAAGAGGGCAAAGCACAAGCGAAAACGAGGUUCUGCAACGGCCCCAAAAGAUAUAUUUGUUCAAAAAAAGGGUCAUAUCUUGUAAUCAUAUUACAUAACCUGCAGAAACGUUUUCGGCUUCAUAAAAAGUUUAUGUAUAACAAGGAUCUAAGGACUUGUUUAAGACCUAUUUGGAGUACUAAUUAUCUGCUUCUGGACAAAAUUUGAAAUUUAAGCUAUUACUUCUUUCUGGAACAGCACAUAAGUAAAUCAGGGUAAUGUUUCUUCCUCACAUUACUGAAAAUCGAUAAUAAACGAAUAGGAAUGCCAAACACAUGAACAAACUUUGUAAGCAGCACAUACUAAUUCAAUGAUUCACUGUAGUAGCUUACCAACUACACUACAUAUAUGACUUAAUGACUACAAUUGAAUUAGUAAACAAAAUACCUUUUUGUAAUGGAAGUUCACUUUCCUUCUCACCCAUUCUUGACCACAAACCUGCAAAUCAAUGAACAGAUACACUCAUACACCAUGUGAAGCAAGAUCUAUAGUUAAACCAAACUAUUGAAACAAACUGUUUUAUUAGUCUAGCUAUAACUCCCAAAAAUCCGAUCGACCACACAAAAGAAAGGGGAGCUCGAGGGGGGAAAUUAAUAAAUAAAGAUAACCUAAAUUAAAGUAUCAUAAUCAAAUUGAACAUGUAAAUAAGCUAGAUUUCUAGCAUGAAUAUAAUAAUUAAGUUUCAAAGCUGAAAGGGUGAGGGGCUGAAGAUGAUGACAGAAGCAUAGAGAGCACAAAGGAGUGAGAUGCAGACUCUCCAUGCAUAUCAUCAUCUGUGCUCUCUAUCUUCUGUCAACAACAUCACCAGUGCCCCCUCUUACUAGCUAAAGACUUAGCUUUUUUUUCCUAUUGUAGAUAAGAAAAGAAAAGCAGAAACAUGGGGAUGAUUUUAAUAAGAGAGGGUAGCUAGACUGAUAGAUGGUUUUGGCCAGAUUGGUUUUAUUUACUAUAGAACUAGCUCCUUGAACAUCCCUAUUUAUAGAAAGGAUUUAGAGAAUAAAGGGUACUAGUAGCUAUAUACAACAGUGCCUGUCGCAUGUAUUACUUACUACUUGUAAGUUGUAACUGUUCAUCUCACGAGUUAAAGCCUUCAAAAUAGUACAGUCCUUGAUCUUGUAAGUUGUAACAAACUACUGUUAAUUAACAAAUUUACUUUCCAUCAAAUAACAAUUUCAAAACCCUAAACCCUAGCUUUUGAAAUCACAGAAAAAAUAGUCUAGAUGGACUCAAAAAACGGGUGUUGGUGUAUAUUUGGUUCAAAUAUAAGAUCUAACCAUUUAUAAUGAAAUGAGAAAUGACCCUAUCGAGCUCAAAUUAUAUAUUAAAAAAGGGUCAAAUUUAAUUAGCUAAUAUGUUCCAAAAUCAAAAUUGAAUACAGUAAAACCUCUCUAUACUCAUACUCUUGGGAUCAAAAUAAAUUAUUACUAUAGAGAGGUUAUAACUUAAUAGAGUUUUACUUAAGAAAAUUAUCGUAUAAUUUCAAUAAUGGUAUAGUUUCAAAACAAUAAUAUAGCUUCAAGAUAUAGUGCACAUAUACUAACUUAGUGAUGGAAGUGUUAGAAAAUAAAAAAACAUAUAAAAUGUCUCAAAUUUUAUAUUUUCUUUAAUAUUUUUCUCAAUAUGUAAUAUAUUUUUGAAGUAAUUAGCGUUACCCCCUGGAAUUCAAGGCAACCUAGUGAUACCCCCCUCCCCCAACUCCAAAAAGAUUUGUGUAACCCCCCAAAAUUAUUUUUCGAUGAAAAAUAGACUUGAAUUGCCAUAAAUACUCUUAUGUCACAUCAACAGUGGUUUAUGUCAAAUUAAAAGUCUGAUGUGGCAUAAGGGUAUUUAUGGCAGUUCAAAUCUAUUUUUCACCGUAAAGUAAUUUUUUUUUUUGGGGGGGGGGGUAUCGCUAUGUUGCCUUGAUUUCAUUUCAUGUGAUGAAAGACCUUGUACUUUUUAUCGAAAAUAUAUUUUGCCUAAAACUAUAAUUUCUCGUGAUAUGCUGAAUUAUAAGCCAAGGAGAUUUAUCAUGAUAUGUUGAAAAAUGGGAAGAAUAGGUUCACAUACUGUUGGUUCCAAAAGAUAGAGUUUUGGCGUCAGGGCUUAGGCCAUCCAUAUGCCACUUGCCAAGAAGCAUGGAGAAGAUUAGAAAAGAAGAUGAGUUCAAAUCAACCCCCAACACGUACACAUCUCUUAUCUUAUUGCUCAUCUGUCGAUUACUGAUAGGGUAAUCAAUGGGGGUAGCUGUUCAAAAGAUCCUUUUGCACGUGUCACCACCCUAUCGUACUGCAUCCUCAUUGUCAAGUAGGCUCUACUACUGGCAAUUCAAUUAUAUCCCAUCUAUUCCAUAUCCCCACCCUCACUCCCACUUGAUGAUAGAUAUGAUGCCCAGGCCAUGUUCUGAUGGGGAUCUAAAACUGUAUUCAUUUCAAAUGUAAUCAAUCAAUAAAUACAUUCAAAAGACAAAUAAUUAAGAUCUGUACAUAUAUAUAUAGCUUCAAUUCUUCUAUGGUGUGCUGCUCUACUGAAUGCUGGAAUAAUUUCCAUAAUUAAGGAAGGAGCUGAUAAUAUACAUAAACACUAGUUGCAUUGCAAGCUACUUGAUAUACUAGAAAUAAUGGCUAUAGUGCUAUACCAAGAAAUGAAUCAUCUACAUUGUUGGACAACAUAUGUACUGAAGUAGGACACAUUUGGAUAUAUUGUUGGACCCAAUUGGUGCAGUAUCACUACAGUUUGACGGAGCUGUUCUCUUCUUCCUACGACUUUGUUGGUCAGUUUCUUAAUUGACCCUAGUGGUCAACGAUCCUUGUGAUCCAACAACGGGUGUGGGUGCCUAGCCUCCAGGCAUAGGACUGGUUCCAGCACCCAAGAGAGAGAGAAAUAAAAAAAAGUAAGAUAGAUACAAAGUUAACCUUUGACGAUCCUUGUGAUCCAACAACGGGUGUGGGUGCCUAGCCUCCAGGCAUAGGACUGGUUCCAGCACCCAAGAGAGAGAGAAAUAAAAAAAGUAAGAUAGAUACAAAGUUAACCUUUGAGUGUUGUGGUGCGCGAAAGCUGGCCCAGACAUUCGGUUAGGGAUGUAAUAGGAAUACAAUGUUAGCCAUUGGAGUGUCGAGGUGCGCGAAAGCUGGCCCGGACAUUCGGUUAGCCUCUUGUAAUAGAUAGCCUAAUUGGCAAUUCUAUGAAUAGAAUUAGCACUUCUGAUAAAAAAAAAAGUAGGACACAUGCAACGUGAACAGUAUACAGUAUAUGCAGGUUUUAUUCAGAUACAAAUACAAUGGCAUAUGCAACGUGCACUGCUCAAUAAAAAGGAGUUGCUUCUAAGCAAUGUAUAAUUUUACUAUCUGACAUGUUUUGGCGCCUGGUAUGCGCCCGCAAUAAUUGGGGCCCACAUGGAGGGUCUAUUCCGUUUUCGGACCAAAGACUUUUGUUCAGAUGCCACGCUUUCCAAAAUGGGAUAUAGGAGAGAGAAACAAAGCGAGAUUCUCUCUUGACUUACCUCCUUUCGCAAUGCUCCCCAGACAUGUGUGCUCCUGCUAUUGCAGGUGGUCUACAGUCCACUACUCCACUGUUUAGGCCACAUAGAGGACUCUUCAAUCUUCCCUCUCAAUCAUGUUGGUAUGAUCAGCUUUUGAAAUCGAUUAGUAUUAUUAUAAAGAUAAAGACAUCUUAUCUUUUGAUUGGUUGUCUUUGGCCUUUGGGUACUACUUUUGGACUUGUUUUCAUUAUCUUCUAAACUGGCUUUUAAUUGGAUACAUACAACACUAUGGCAGUGCAGUAGUCACCUCAUCAUCAAUUAAAAAUGGCCUGGCGACUGUCCUUUCCAGCUGACUGGAACUUUACUACAGUACUAUGUAGCUGUACGCGCUUCGCGCAUAACUUUAUGUUGGAGCAUGAUUUUUAGUCAUAUAAAAAUAUUAUGGUAUUUUCUUUGGGUAAUUUAAUAAUUUAGAUGUGUAGAAAAAAAAAAAAAAAAAAAAAAAAAACCAUUUACAAUACAAAUUGCAAGUACAGUAGUAGGCUGAGAGAAGAUGGAAGAAAGACGUUCACAUCAUAAGAUGUUGGGCUCAAAUCUGGGUUUUCGGGGAAAACAGAUGUUGGGCAUAAAUCUGGGUUUUUAGGAAAAACAGAAAGAGAAGCCCAUUUAUAAUGUUGGGCGUUUUUGGGGAAAACAGAUUAUGGGCUUAAAUUUGGGCUUUUGGAGAGAUAGGAAUAGAGGCCCAUAAAUAAGACACGUGGCGGAAAUUUUGUGUUUGGUUACUGAAGGACGCUGAUGACGUAAUUUAACUGUUCACAUGCCUCCUCUCCUUAAGGUAGUAAAGAUGUGAAUGUGUAGUUAGACCAUCUUCAGCGGGUUGCUAUUUUCUCGUAAAUUUGGUAUUCAACACAAUUGCUAUUUUUUUAAUUUUUUUGUUUAAUUAUUUUUUCAAAUUUAUUUUUAAAUUUGAGAAAAUUUUUGAGAAUAGCAAUAUUCAUAUUAUAUACAUAAGCAAUGAUUAGAAGGGCGGAUGAGAAGCGACCACCAUGUAAUAGAGGAGGUGGAUGACUAAAAAAUACCACCAGCCAUUUUUAUGUGGUUUUAAUUAUGAAGGCUGGUGAUUGAGUAGUUUAAAAAAAAAUAGUUUUUGCCCGCCUUUGUAAAGUGAAGGCUGGUGGGUGAAAAUUAAGGAAACGGGUUGGACUUGGUCUUUGGAUAUUUCUAUAUAAUUAUAGAAAUAAAAAUAGAGAAAUAGAAAAAAGAGAUUUUUGGACAUACCCCCAAUUUGAAAAAAAAAUUGAGAUACCCCCCAAUUCAAGAUGUGGUGUUAUCUUAGCCGUCCAUCAUAAAAGUCACCUACGGCUAUAAAGCUCUUCUGUCUUGAAAUGGGGGUAUCUCAAUUUUUUUUUUCAAAUGGGGUAUCUCAAAUUUCAACUUUCAAAUACGGGGUAUGUCCAAAAAUCUCUAGAAAAAUUACUACUGUAGCGGUUGGAGAUGGUCUUAGAAUGUUAUAUAAGAAAAGUGGGGUGGGUUCAGGGGGUAGAAUUAAAAGUGAUAGGGUUAAAAUACUGGAGGGUUGGACUCCAUAAUUUUUAUUUAUUUAUUUAGAAUAAAUAAAUCAUAAUUAAAAAUCCAGAGUCGAACCAAAACUGCUUAAGUAGCAAUUUAUAAUUAGAUCUAACUUGGGUUUUAUUAUAGCUAACUACAGACCACUUUACAAUUAGUAAAAGUUGACGUAUAAUCAUACCCCCAAACAGUUAGUAUCGCAGAGAGUAGGACCGAAUGUUGCGUUGUUCUUGCAGAGUAUGUAACGUGUUGAGAUUACAGCCAUGCAAGCACCACCUGUUGUUGGACAUAUAAGAAUCAUGAACACCCUACUUGGCUACUUUAGCCGCCCCAGUUAAUUGAUUGUACGUUUGAUGCACAUCCCACACUUCACAACAGUUUCAACAAUUGUUUAGUGCCAUUUUGUUAACUAUAUUUCAAUACACAACCAUUGGACCCCCAGAUAGUGAGAGAGAUAUUGCAGCUAAGCUACUUUGUACUUCAUAACCAACAUUCUUCUCAGUUUCCAGCAAGCUAGGGAAUGGAGAAGAGUUUUUUUUCUUUUUCCAAAAGAUGGUAUUUCUAUUUUUAUUAAGAUGAAAAAGAUGUAUUACUGCAGAUACUUGACAUAACUUCUUUAUAAAAAAACAGAAGGCUUGCAACGCAGUUUGUAGUGUGUUUGUCCUCUAAUUUUGUGUAAUUCUUUUUUUAUUAAUAAAAAUUAUUUUUGAUUAAAAAAAAUAAAAAAUACUUGACAUAACAUUACUGCUGCUUUAUAUAUUACUAGUGACAGUUUCAAAACCCACGAGGCUAUAACAUAGAGAUACUAUCCAAUAAUACCAAUAUCCAUAUAAGUACCCAAGACGGGAGUCAGGUUGCAAAAACCAUAUUCAAAACAGGCUACAAAGAAGGUUGCAAAAAGCAUAUUCAAAACUAACCGGGCUAGUUUUGGACCCUUGAAUUUCGUACUCGAAUCUGAUUAUAGCAUGGCCCAUGUUCGAAACAGGCUACAGAGAAAAUGGUAUUCAUACUCUAAAUCCAAACUAAUGUGAGCCCAAAAGUUUGAGCCCCUAAUGGAUCUCCGCGUUAAUUCAAUACCGCAAAGCCCACUUAAAGUAGAUGGGAAUCGGGGAUGGUUGGCCUCAAGCCCUCAACCCCUAAUACAGUAUUUCUUUGAGAAUAAAUCAGAAAAUAUUUUCUUCAUGGAUUAUCGCUUCAUUAGUAGUCUUCACUUACAUUACAACCACAUAUAUUUUGCAGACAAUGCAACACUUUAUGCCUAAGUUUUCUCAACACACUAUUGUUUUGUUGUUGCGUGGUUCAUUGUCUAAUGAAGAAGCUAGCAUCACAUAAAUGCAAAUGUGUUUCUGGUUCUAUCCCAAAACCGUACGUGUUGGAAACAUAUUGUUACGGAAAAAAGAAAAAUGUCAAGCAGCACUGCAGCUCCUUGAUGACUGUUAGAUCCAUUUCAGUUAACAAUGAGUGUUGCACAGUGCAGGCAUAUAUGCAGCUGUUGUUAGAAAAUGUUGGGAUUUUUAGAUUUAAUCCCCCUUUUUAUGGUCACGUUUAGAGUAAACCCCCCCAUUUGUCCAAGUUUGGAUUUUACCCCCUCUCCAAUUGUUUCUGUCAAAUUUAAUGUUAAUUUUGUUUGUAACUUUCCAAAAUGCCCUCAAUUGCUGUUUUAGACUUAACCCCCUACAAAAAUGAGAGAGAGGUAUUUUAGAAAAAAAAAAUAAAAAUAGACGUUAAAUUUGACAGAAGUAGACGGAGAGGGGGUAAAGUCCAAACUUGGACAAAUAGGGGGUUUACUCAAAACGUGACCAUAAAAGGGGGGUUAAGUCUAAAAAUCCCAAAAAUGUUCAACAAUAAGCGGCCCCUGCAGUUGUCGCUUUACACAAUACAAAUACGUCUCAAACUCAAUCCCGUAUGUGAUAAUAAGCCUAUUAUAUUGUAUAAUCAGUCCUAAUCAAAAUGGUUUUCUAUAUAAGAGAACUGAUCUCCUUAAUCAUGAAAAUGUGUUUAAGAUAAUUACAGUUCGAUUAAAUUAUGAGUGGCACCCGUUUAGCCGACCAUAAUUUGAUUAAGUAAAUUUAAUUUGAUGACGAUCGCAGCCGACCAGAGAUAAUUACUAUAUUAUUGUGUUAAAGAUAAUGAUAAUGAUUAUUAUAGCAACUAUAUUACAUGCAACAUCAUGCUUAUGCCAUCUAUACUCAUUAUUCAUGAUUCAAUCUUGACUCUUGAGGUUACAUGCAAUCCAAAGCCACUAGCUGGUACUUGAAAAAAUGUUACGAAACUUGCUGUACGUGUGCUUCAUCAAGUCACCAUGAGUCCAUGUACUUUCUUAAUGCGUGAGAAAUGUGCUUUAGAGCAAGUUGCAAGAAUGAAAGGUUGGCAAACAAACAUGGAAAAGAUUCAAGUCUUUCAAACUAAUGAAUAGUGUUGGGGCGGUGGAUACGCAUAUCUUUUGCUGUUGUUAACACUUAAACAGCAUCUUUCUCUCUUUAUUUCAUUACAUCCACACAUUGUUUAGCUUCAUAUCUUCAUGUUUGACCAAUUUUGAAAUUGAUACUAUGCUAUGAGGGUUGUUUAACCUGUUUAACUCCACAGAACUUCUGUUCUUCAUCUCUAAGAUCAUAGACAAAACAGAAAUCUGACCACUUUUAAACCAUAAGAAAUAUACCAAUUACUCUCCCCACAUGAUUUUAUCGCGUUGAUCUGCAUGAAGAUGCGAUACAUGUACUGAUGUACAUUAUACAAUUGGAGGGCAUAUAGCUAUGACACCCCUUUAAGUAUAGGAUCCAUACCUUAAAAAUUCUUUAGAUUGAAAAUGAAUCCGGAAAUCUUGCCAAAUCUUCUUCUUCUUAACGGUAUUUGCCCAGUAAUCUAUUACCCAGUCGGCUGUCGGCGUAAUCCAUAGUUUAUCUCCCACAGUAUUUGAAUAGAAUUAUAUAUUAAAAUGUCAAUUAUAUUGUAUGUUUUUAAUCUAGUCUAAUGGAUUACUUCUAUGCUACUACCACUAUGGUAACAAGAGGCCGGAUCAUAUGGUCUGGUUUUGGGAUAAAAUGCAUUAUUUGAUGAAUUUAUAGGUAUUAUGCUUUUGUUGAUUGAGAUGUGCAAGGAAAAUGACAUGCAUGAAAGAUAAGUUUUGUAAUAAUUUACUUUAGUAAAAAUAUGCAACAGUGACAUUUUUUUAUUUUUUUUUUUGGAUUUUACUAUAACUAAAUUUUAGAAAAUUUGGGAUUAUUGCCAAAGGUUCAUGAACACAUAGAAGAAUGCCUACAAUCAAAUGACUUUGAUCAAAAUAAUUGAAAUAACGCGGUUAGUAACUUAAUAUUGUGAUCAUAUAUAUUGAUGCUUCUGCUUAAAACCUACAACGACAGAACAAUAGAGUGAAUGAACGAUAAGUCUAUUUCUUAAAUGCAUUGACAGAUGGAGAAGAAGAUGGCCAAAAAAAAUGGUACAAUUCAGGGACGAAUAUCUGGUACGCCUAUUUUGAAAUCAGCUGAAUUUGAGCAAACGAUUCUAGUACAGUACUACCACCCAAUGAGGGGACCAAUCUAGCAAGACUAUCAAUUAGGGUAUAUCGGUGGUCCAGCCGUGGGAGGACCAAAUUAUGAAAGUAACAAAUUAAACCUAUCAGAUUAUUAGCACCAAAAAAUUACAAUCAAUCAUCAAAAUCCCUAGGAUUAUAGCCAUAUGAACAUACUUGGUAGAUAAAACACCAGCACGGAACUACAACUGAUAGGAAUCUUCCUAAACUCAACUCGAUACAACUCCGUUAUAGACUGUCUAACCUAGGGGUGGAAAUCGGACGGAACGGAUCGAAAAUGGUCAAAUAACAUGUUAAGAAAAAAUAAAUCAGAAUUAGAAAAUUUCUUCCAAUUCCAUUCUAAUUUUUUUUCGUAACAACAAAAUUUAUUUCAAGUUCGGAAUAUUAAAAAUAUUUGGAAUAUCAAAAAAUAAAAUAAAUUCAGAUCAAUCGGAAUUUCAAUUUAAAAAUAUAUCAAAAUUUGGCUCAAAAUUAAUUAAAAAUCUAAAUCGAAAAUAGUGGACGUGAUUCAUUUUGGAAACUUGAAAAUUCUGCACUAUUUAUACUGAGCUGAAAUACUAUAUUUAUUUAUUGGGGUUUUUUUCCUAACAUAAUAACAUACCACCCCAAUGAUGGAUCAAAGUUUUGGGGUAUAUAGCACUUUAUAAAACACAAUUAUACUGCAAAAUUUAUAUAAUAAUAUAAUUGCAUGAACAAAAAAGGAAUUAAUCUGACUAAUAUGCAUAGACCUUCAAUCGAAAGUAUAAAGUAACUAAUUAUUUACUAUUAUAUUAUUUUUUUGUUGAAUUGUAUAUUUUUAAAAAUGAGAAUAAUUUAAAUCUCUUUAAAUUAUCAAAAAUUUUGAAAUAUUUAUCGAAAAAGAUCAGAUUAACAAUCAGAAAUAUCGAAUCGGAUUUAUAGGAGUAGUUCCAAUUCCAUUCUAUUUUUUUUCGAAAAAAAUCAAAAAUCAAAAAAUUCAAAAAAAUUGGAACUGCAAUAAUCCAUUCCAAAUUCGAAAAAAAUCAGAUCGAAAAUAAAAAAAAAAAUAAAAAAAUCGACAAAAAUUUACACCCUUAGUCUAACCUCACGAUGCUACUUGUAAAAUGAAAAACGUUGGUGACUAUUUGUAGCCACAUGCUUCACUAGCUGAAAUGUAGACUCUAGCUGAAGAAAAGCAUGCGCCUCAGAUAGCCGCAUUGCAAUGUUAAUGGCGAGGCAGCUUAGGGUGACCUAGAAGUGGAACAAGUUAGUCCAGUCCCUUGGGGUGGUGUCCUACACACGUGUUCACAUUUAGAACCAAAACCUCCAAUUCUUUAGGCUCCACACAAUAUAUAUAUAUAUAUAUAUAUAUAUAUAUAUAUAUAUAUAUAUAUAGAAAACAAACAAACAAACCCUAGCAAUGAAAGCAAAUAAAAAGCAGCUCAUCUCAUCUCAUCUCAUCAGUAUAGAGUCAUUCAUUCACAAUUCACAUACUUAAUCGUGCUCUUGUGUCCCUUUGUUUCUUGCCCCACGUAAGUGCUCGAUAGCGACACAACACACACACCUUAUGACCUUUUUACCUUUUCUUCCUUUCUCUUUAAAAUCCCUCUUUCUUACUCGCUCUCUAAAAAUCUCUAUUCCAAUCAAAACCAUAACCAAAACCAAAACCAAAACCACUUUUUUUCUUUUCAUAUAACAAGAAAUGGGUUUAUAUAGUGAUUUGAAUGAUGUUCAAUCAGAAUCAAUUCCUUUAUUUUUAGUAAUUCUUAUAGCUAAUUGUGUAAAUUAUCUUCGAUCUAUAAUUGUUGGUUUUGUUGAAUCAAUUGGAUUUUCUUGUAAUCAUCGAUUUGAUUCAAUUGAAGAUGUUGUUGGUGAAAGGCUAUUAAGCGCAGUGGGUUCAGGUUUAGCAAGUUUAAUAGUGGUUUCAGAACAAAGUAAUUUGAAUCGAGUAUUUGGUUAUAAAAGUGUUGGUGUUGUUGGUGGUGGUGGAAUUGAAUCAUCAGAUGAUGAUUGUAUUGUUUGUUUAUGUAAGUUAGUAGAUGGAGAUCAAGUGCGUAAGUUAGCAUGUAGACAUGUUUUUCAUAAGGCUUGUUUGGAUGGAUGGUUAUUUGAUCAUUUGAAUAUAACUUGUCCACUAUGUCGAUCGCCGUUAGUUUCUGAUGAAAGAUUUGCUGUUACUGAAAGAAGAGUUGCUGGUGACCUUGUUAGUUGGUUUUCAAUGCGUUGAAUGAUGAUGAUGUAUGAUGAUCAGUUUUAUGUAUGAUGUAUGUAUGUAUGUAUGUACAUCCUGACCAUCACCAUGUGGGAUGUUUUUUACAGUUUUUAGAUAUUUUUUUUUUUUUUUUGAAGAGCUCUAUAGCCUAAAUAGGGAGGUUUUUCUUUUUUUUUGCCUAGGUUGCUCUUUUCUUUCUUUUUACUGCACUUUUUGAAGAACUCUUUUGGGUUCUUUUUUACUCCUGUAAAUUUUAACUUCCACGUUAAAUAAGAAUUAUUAUCUUGAUGAUUAUUACUUCCAUAGUCAAUUGGUCAUUCAUUAAUCAUUACUGGAUUCUAUGAAAUGUUGCUUUAUUUAUCAAUUUUUUGUUCUUUACAAGCAUCAACCAUGCAUAUGCACCAUCUUUCAUCCACCACUGUUUCAACUUUCUACAUAUGUAAUUGUGUGGUUAGGUGCAAAUGAUUUGGAUUAGUUUAUAAUCAGUCAUAAACCUAAAACCAAAUGCAGAAAAUUACCAAAGGGAGUUCAAUUAACAGAGUAAUAAACCACUGCCUACAUUCAUCACCCAUUUCCCCUGUCAAUAGCAUCUUUAACAGAGGCCAGUUAUGGUUAUUUCCCCCCUUGGGGCAUGAACUUAUUAACUGACCGGAUUGACAUGUGCUUUAAGUAGUGUGUUCACAAUUUAACCAUCAUCUAUCCAUGGUUGGAACUUGGAUGCUGGAUUUCUGAAACUAUACAGAUCAUGCACAUAUCAACAAAUCCCACAUACUUGGGAUGCUUCAUAAAUUUUAGCAAAUUAUGCCAGCUGAGCUCAGUUGGUAAUAUCCCUGGGCGAUGAUACUAGAGGUCUGGAGUUUGAUCCCAGACAAUGAUCUCGCUAAAAAUAGGUUUGCCGAUCAAAGAAAAAAAAAUCAUAACAAUAAACUCUUGCAGCACAAUCAUGAGAACCGACAUCACCACACAUGUCGACCACAUUAGGGAGGCAACUAAACUACCCUCUUCUGCCCAGCCAACAUUUAAAAGUAAUACACACCUACACAUGUUGUCACCUCAACUUAAAUUGCACAAAAUUUCAUUCUUUUAUUAAUUAAAACAUUUUAUUACAAGAGCCACCAUAUCAAGAAACAAGUAUUAUUCGAUUAAGGUGGGGAUGGGGGUGGGGAAAGGCUUGCUGAACAUCCACAAACAAGUUUUGUUUUCUUGGUAAAAUAGAAAGAGAAAAAAAAAGGUUCCCUGGAGAGGAGCAUCCAGAAAGCUCUCAGUCAGGUGAUCCAUACAGAUGCUGCAUUUUUUACUGCGUUCUUUAUGUGCUCUUUCCACUAGCUUUCGCCAAAGAUGUGAAGCUCAAUUUACCGCGCUCUUCAUGUGCUCUUUCCACUAGCUUUUGCCAAAGAUGUGAAGCUCAACCUGCAACAUAGGAAAGGCAAGGAUUAAGGGGCAGAUACAGUAGAACCUCUUUAAAUUAAUACUCGAUUCGUUAAUAUCUCUCUAAGUUAAAUAGAAUUCUUUGGUCCGAUGUACAUUGUAAGUAGCUAAAUCAACACUCGGUAAGUUAAUAAUCUCUCUAAGUUAAUAAAAUCACAUAAGGUCCCAAAGCUAUUAAUUUAAAGAGGUUCUACUGUAUAAUUUUCCAGAAAGUAUCUUCCAAUGAUAACUAUUACAGAAGAUGACAUGAUUCUACAAUUACUAGGAUCAGUGCAUGACUGGUUUCACACAAUUACCUGAUAUGUGGCUUUCGCUGGGGCACAGAUGUAGUAGCAGCGAGGCCGUUGGAGAAAGGAGCCAUCAGUUCAACAGGCUUUUAAUAACAACAAGAAAAAAUGAAGAUGAUGUUAAUGGUUUAAUCCCUCAACCAUAACACAGUAACCAAUUGACAGAAAAUAUUACACGUAUACCACAUGAAAGCAAUGUCAACAACAGACAGAUAUAAAAACUAAUUCAGCAGCUCAAAGCUAGUGCUGUAAAGUUAAUGACGAGACGAGAUAUCAGGAACCAGUCCAGACCAAUACCAACUGAUUUCAUACCUAUUUAAAUUUUAUCACUCCUAAAUGGUUUCUAAGAUUUGUCUACUGUUUGAGUUUUAAAUUUGGCUUUGUUGUAUUUAUACUAUAAUAUAGAACCGUGAAACGGUGGGGACCGACUUUGGGUUGUGAACAAAGAGGGGUUGAAGACUUGAAGCAGAGAGAGAGAGUUGGGGGAGAGAAGAAAAAAAACAAAAAACAAAGUGGACGGACGGACACGAAUUUUGGUUUCACCCAAAGUAUAAUGGACCUCCUAAAGUCGGUCGAUUAGUGACUCAAAGCACUCAAGGAGAAUGCAGCGCUUAUAACAAAAAAUGGAUAAAUGAGACAAUUUAUUGAAUCAUUAUGCAAGGCAAUGAAGAGGAGAUUGGAUUUGAGUAAAGCCCUAGGGUUCCAAAAAGGGAAAUGCCACUUGUUAAAACUCGUAUCUUUACUUUGUUUCUUGUAAGGCCUUGCAAAAUAUAAAAUUUUAGAAUCAAUUUUCCCUGACAGUACAGAUUUUCAUCAUUGUUCCAUAAAUAUCCCUGAAUAGAGAACACUUAAUUUAUAUCACCAAUUUAAAAUUUUCUCGCAUGAAACAAACAAGAAAAAGAAAACCCACAAAUGGCACACUAAAAUAUUGAAACUGUUCAACACAUGCCUGACAUAAUAUGUGCAAACUCUCACCUAUUCUGAUAUGUUAAAUUUGGUGAGAAUACAAACUGGUGCAAGAUUAAAACACGAGGCUAUACUUGAGAAGUUAAGAAUGUACCAUAAAAUCCUCGAGUUGUAAAUAAGAGCAAGUUUGUGUCUGAGCAUAUAAGCAAUUUAUAGCAGAUAACAAAAUUUUGUAUAAAAUGUAUAGGUGCAAGGUGAUAGAUGAGACCUCAAGUUCCUCCAAACCUCCGUUCUGAAAGAAGCCAGCACGCAAAGUUGCAUCAGUCCCCGUUGCGGAUGCACCGUUUGACAUUGUGGACUCUAGCUCUUUGCCUUCAUUGCCCUCUACACACUUAUUCACUUUUGUUGAACCCGAAUCACCUUCAAGCUCAUCAAGUUCAUCAGGAAAUCCUUGAUGGCCCAAAGAUGGGCCAGAAAUAUUUUCAAUUGCUUGUUUUUCAGAUUCUUUAUUGCGCGAUGAACCAGCUGUGCUAGAUAUGGAUCCAACAGGCAUAUUUGGUUUUCUGGAAUCCUCUGCUUCUCCACCAGUAUCGAAAGAAAUCUCCAGGGUGUGGCUUGAGUUCCUCUCAAGUUUAUCUUCAACUUGUUCUCUCUUUAUUGAUGCCUCCAUUACAUCAGCAACUACAUUGCAUCCUGCAUUAGGAUAUUCGGCAGGAGUGCCAUAUUGCCCAAUUAUAGGUGGACUACGGCUUUCGUAUCCCCCAAAUAUUCCGCCAUUAGAAGAACCUUCAACCGAGCACUUGGUCUUUUUCAAUUCAGUCCCUAUGUCAAUUCCAUUUUUCUUUCUCUUCCCCCCGUCUUCUGUUGCAUCAAUUUCCAACGUGCUUUCAGGUGAUUUAUCCACUUGAGGAGAGUUAGAGAUAUUUGCUGUUGAAGUAGGCCUACCAACCCAAGCUGCUUUUGUAGGUCGGGAUGGCCGAAUUCCACCUGGGAAAACAAAAGAGGGAAUGUUCCUGCGUCUUAUAUGAGACACACGAACUGUCAUUCCAGCUUUUCGCAUAGUAUAUUGUCCAACGUUGACCUUGAAUUCCUCAACAGUCGCCCUAAUAUCAAAUUCUUGAUUCUCUUGUGCAGGAACUCCUUGGUUUCGUUGUAAGCCCAUAAAAUAGCAGCAAUGGAAUGGUCUGGAUUUGUCUGGAAAGUCAGCAGGGUGUGGAUGGCACUGAAGCAAACUAUAGGUGUCUCUCUCAAUCUGAACCAUGAACAAACAAAAACAAGUCAGAAAGAAUUUCAAUAGCAAACCCAGCAGAGAUAACCCUACUUUGUUCUAUUACAAAAUCAACGAUUUACCUUCAAGGUCAGCUGACGUAGUCGGGAUUCAACCCAACCUUUCCAUUGCCUCAAGUCGUCAUCAUUUUCAGCAGAGAUAUCAAUCUGCAGAUAAUUUUUAUAAGCUUCAAAGAAAGGGUAGGGCUCGAACAGCACAUUCCAAUCAGCCUUGCUUACUUCCAUCGCCUGCAAAGAUUAAACAACAUCAGCUCCCAGGGAAAGGUCGAAUUUUAAUAUUUGUGGAUCCACUGAUAGAUCAAGUAAAUAUCAAUAGCUAAUCACAAUAAUGUAUUAUACAGUAGAACCUCUUUAAAUUAAUACUCGAUUCGAUAAUAUCUCUCUAAGUUAAUAAAAUUACAUAAGGUCCCAAAGCUAUUAAUUUAAACAGGUUCUACUGUAUAUAUAUAAAGAACCACAAGAGCCGCACCCGAUCCUUCAAAUUACCAUGACAUUAACAAAGAUGAAGCUGGCUUUUAAUCAAUGGAAUUAAGCUCAACAAGUCACGAAAACAAAGUAUGUAAGAGCUCAAAGCCUAAAACGCCAUACCAUAUCAUUCUUGCAAGGAUGAUUAUAUGAAUAAUAACAUUCAUUUUUAAUGGGAAAGUUCACAAGUCGCUUCUAUGCCAAUCUAUAAAUUCUACCAUUUCUACAACUAAACAUAGACGAAACGAUAGCAGUUAACAACCAUCAGCUUGUAAAGUCUAAAGAAACAGUAGUCAGUCUUUUGGACUCUCAUUCUUUUUGAUAAUUUCCAAAACAAAGAUCACUAGAAAGUGAUGUUAUUAAAUGAGAGAUAUAAGCUACACGUCUGCAACAUUAGUUAAGUUCAUAGGCAGCUGACAUGUAAAAGUCUUUAGCGUUUAUCAGCUUCAUUAACAAUAUAAUCAUUAUAAGGUAACAAGAAUUUUUUUGUAAUGGUUGUUCUUUUUACAUAGUAACUUCAACACUUUCAAAAUAGGCAUAAAUAACUUAUUUUCAUCUUUGGAGAAAAGAGCCACAACUUAUGUCUUUAUUUUCAUAUCCAAUAACUAUGGAGUAUGGAGUUGUAAAUCAUUUUGAUUUCAUAAUUAAACUAACAGUUUUGAUAGAGAUAUUUCAACUUUUCCAUAAUAUUAUCGUUGCCAUUUUAUCAACUUAAAUGUCCAAUUUUGCAAUAAAAAUUAGCAAAUUAAACUGGCGAAAAAAAAUACGUAAAUAUCAUUUUAAAAGCACAAAAAUAACUACAUAUUACUAAACAAAAUUAUUCAUAACUGUAAUUUUUAAAGCACACUACAUGCAUGCACACAUGCUGGUUUUCGUGAAGCUCAUUGAGAGAGAGCAAUCACAACUUUUCAAUACGUAAACUUCGAAUAAUAAACCAAAUUACCAUCAACCAAUUGACUGAUUUUGAAAAUGCUGCAUACCUCACAUAUUUCAUUUCCCCUCUGAAAUUCUUCAGUCAUAACACGCAGUGUACUGGAUGAUACAUUGUAGCUAGAAUUCAUGCAAGGAUAAGCAGGUGUAAUUAUGGGCAUUAGAUGAAAUCUGUCGCGGUGGUUUCUUCUUGGAUCCCAUAUAGAAAGCCCUAGAGAUCCUUCUUCAAUGGCACAUAGCAUCACUGGAUUUGGCCAUCGCCACUGAGUAUAAACCCUAAAGAACCUAGAUACCAGCAUACUAGGAAGUGCAUUAGGAUAUAGCUGGCAUAUACGAGCAACGAGCAAAGCCCAGUUUAUACCACCCAGGAAACCUGCAACCUGGUCAACAUAAAAAACACGGAAGAUGAUUAGUACAUAAUCGAGGUAUAGUAAUCAUGUGCAGGUGUCAUAAUAAAGGAACUUACAUUUGAAUAAACACCACGACGUUUCGCCCACAAUCUCAUGCAUCUUAACGUAGUGCGAAAAUUCUGAAUCAGAUAGACCAAGAACAAGUAAAGCCAAAUGUUAAAAGAGUGCAGCAUAUGCACUUGCAAAUAUCCGAGUGUAUGAAUACCUGAAUAUUUGGCACUAAACGUAAUAUUUGAUCAGUAACUCGACAUCCAUUGAGACUGCGAACCGUUUGCUCAUCUGCACCCUGCAGUAUUGAAUCCUGGGAAAUAUCCAAAUCCUACAAUAUACAUUAGUAUAGAUUGCAUCAGAUCACAGAUUAUAAGAAAAUGAAUUUGAUUUAUAUCAUGGAUAUCAAAAUAGUCAAAAUGGGAUGUUUUCUAAUGAUAUUGGGCACAGCCCAUUGUCACGUCACCAAAAGUAAACCAGACAAAACUAUCCUUGGAGCAAACAAGAAAUUAGUGUGACAUUCAUUUGUUUGACAUCAUUGCGGGGAAAAAUUUCCCCAAAACAACAGCCUAACAAAAAAUUUAUCUUUCAAAAAAAUGCAUGAAUUGGUCCAGAACUCGCCAACCCGUUAAACUAAAUUUGGCCUGCUUUGAAUUUAAAAAGGCAUAUUCUUGUGUGUUGGGAGGGGGGAACAUGGGCAAAAGUUAAGUAAUCUUCUUGUGUACAAUGAUCCUGAUGGCAGUACAUGCAUGAUAACAACAUCACUACUUACUUCGGGAAUGACCCAGAGUGACAGCUGAGCAUAAAGUAGAUCUAUAGAAACUCCACUGAAUUUGAACUUCAUCACAGGAACAUGAGCAUCAGGCACAGGAUGCAAUUGUGUUACUUCAGCAUCUGUGUAAGCAUCCCAUAAAGUUCCUCAAAGAAGUCCUCCUGCAGUCGUAACAAGUUUUCAGACCACAAGCUAAAAAGGUAAACAGAGUCAAGCAUUGUCAAAGGAAGGAGGCAAGAACUGAUCUCACUUUUCUUUUCGCGUAAUUAGGCCCAACACACAGUGUGUCUAUAUCUGCGCCUGGCCCAUGCACCUAAUAACAUACGCAACCAUAGUGAAGACGAACAUGUAUAUGAAAUUCACAAAAAUGACAAUGUAAAAACGAAUCAUAACAGAAAGAGGGAAAAUGGAGGGGAAAGAAUACUUAAAGUAUGGCAGGCCUAUCUUGUAACUCAUGUAGGACUGUAGGAGUUAAGACAUUCCAACCAGAUCGACCAAACCCUUUUGACACUUAUCAUUUCUAACGUACCAAAUAAGGGAGCAGGGACUCCCCAAAUUUGUCUUAGCAUCAAAAAGUUAAUUCCUUUCUUUAGAACAUAAAUGACUUGGUUUAAAAAUCAUUUUGUACUUUUCUUUCAUUCACUUGAGUUUAUAAUAAGAACACUACAUUUUCAAUUUCAGCAUUUUAAACCACGACAGUCAUGUAAUGAAUUGAAACUAUUAAUGUCAACCAAUUACAGUUCAUCUCACAAACAAUUCUAAAUGAUUUCGUAUCUCAACAUAGAUAAUCGCUGCAUUCAGUCAUGCUUGACAAUGAGCAAACAAGGAGUACUUUUAUACUGUAAAAAUGUGAACAUUAACAUCUUUCGGUAGACUAACAGAUUGCCUCCACCAAUCCAGAAUGAAUAGGUCAUCGUAGACUAUGGCAUAAUUUGCCUAGGGAUUGUCUAAAAUUUAAGUUCACACCAAGUGGGACCAUAAUGUAACAAAUCUGGCAUGUAUCAAUUACGGGCCAUGAAUUGUUUCACUCUUAAACAAAUAUAUAUCAGAAGCCAGAAGGGUUGACAUACUCUUACUAGGAAAAAAAAAUCAUGGCAAAAACACAAUAAUAAAAGUAACAUAAAACAUGGAAAGAGGUGGGGAAAGAACUAGGAAGAAACUCAUACCCCAAGGCGAUAAGAACCAAAUGUGAAGAUCUUGGCAUUUGCUUCAUGAACCAACUGUUCAUUAAAGCCCCUUUUGUGGCUGACUGUUUUUACCCAAUUCUUCACUAUCUGUUUGAUGCCACCAACAUAUACCAAGACAAGUAAAACAAGGUUCUAAAAAGAUAAACAAAGGUAAAUCCAACACAGUCACAAAACAAACCUGGUCUAAUCUUCCAAGCACUUCUUCCCUAGAUACAGCUUCCUCUUGGCUUUCAUACAAUCCAGCAUCACAUAGGUACUAACAAUCCCAAACUUAAUCUUAUUAGAUUGGGAAAACCAUAAUCAACAAGUAUUUUCUAUGGCACAGCAAUGCAAGUUUAAUCAUCAAUUCAAAUUCAACUAAAAAACCAACCUUUUCAAGUUCUUGGGUCUUAAUCCUGUCAAAAUCUGUCGGACCACCCAAAGAGAUAGGGUCUGUGACUCCAAGCUUUCGUUGCACAUUCCCAUUCCCAUUCCCAGGGUUUCCCAUUAAUGAUCAAGUAAAGAUUGCUUCUUUUUUUUUUCCAAUUGAUAUUAUUAAAAUUACUCGCAAAUUUAUAGUGUAAUAGUUCUUACAAAAUUUCCCCUUUUUUUGUUCUAAUUGAAGAACAAAAUAGUGGUAGAUAAUUAUGCAAUCAGAAAAAAUAAAUUAAAAGCGGAAAAAAACUAAAAAAAAGUAAAGAUAAUUCAGAGACUAUCGAUCCAAUAUUCAUUCAGUUUCUGUUACAAGUAAUUGAAAUAUAAAAAUCAAACAAACCCUAGAAUCAUAGAAUUGAAUAUACAACUCAAUCUCUCUCAAAAUUCUUCUUUUUUUUUUGUAAUUUUUUUUUUUCUUUUUUUUUUUUCUCUCUCUCUCUCUCUCUCUCUCUCUCACAGAAUCGAAUAUACAACUCAAACUCACAAAAUCUCCCAAACAAAAAAGCCCUAAUUGAGAAACCUUCUUAUCGUCUUCAACAAACAGAAACAGAUCUUUAGAACGCUUUGCUUGACAAUUGGCUGAAUUGAUCUUUCGCCUAUUAGUGAUGAUGAGGUUUUGAAUUGAUCGAGAAAACCCUAGAAAUCAAUGAACAACUGUUAGAAAAAGGAAAAAAAAAAAAUACGAAACAAAGACGAAAACAGAAGAGGAGAGAAACGUGUCGCGAAGUACCGAUUGUGAAGAUUUCGAGCGAUAAGUUUUGCAAACUAGUUUAAGUUGAUAUGUUUGCUUUAUAUAGGCUGCUGAGUCCUGACGGUAAUUAUGGUCGGUUCUGACUACUUCUGACUUUCAAAAACGUUAAGAAAUCAGAAUCCUCAUCCAACUCACAUUUGUGUUAAAUUAUGGGGUUUUUUUUGGGGGGGUGGGGGGGGGGGGGGUUUAAAGAUAUGUUUGCUUUCACUUUCACCACACAAGACCAUUUAUAUGGUUGUUUCAAGUAAAAAUCUUUUGUGGGGUGAAACCAAAAUUUUGUCUAGUGAGAUAGAGAAGAACAUGAUUCAAAUUUCUUUAAGGGGUUGCACAUGGCAAUGCAUCAUGAACCAAAAUUAUAAAAUUAUGCAUUAUGAAAGUGUUCAAAAGUGUAGGAGAUUAGGACUUAGGAGCUACCUUCCAGAGAUUUUUUUACAGAAUGUUCAAGUGACAUGCAUAAGGUUCUGUUGACCUACGUAGAUACACAUACACUGGGAGUUUGGGAUGUCCUCACCUAGUCACCUGGAGAAUAUAUUCAUUUUGAAGGAAAGUCCAAUUUUGGGUGAAUAUGAUACGGACUUAAGGGAGUCCAUGGGUGCAGAAUACCAUUUACCAUGUUUCUCUUAUGAUCUAGAAUACUAAUUGAUUUUGGAAAAUGCACAUCACUAAACAUACAGUAUGUCAUUGUUACAUCCACAUGCCACACUUUGGCAUACAUGAACAACAACUCAUUUGCUCCCCAAAAAAGAAAAGAGAAAAAAUUGCUUUCUAAAGUCGGCUCAAUUACUUUAGCUUUUCUCUGUGAUACAAUACAAUUGAUUCCUUCUGUUAAAUUUCAAAUUCCAUUAAUGGGAAACAUCCGAACUACAUUCAUGUUCAGGAUCAGUGCGCAACAAAAGAGACCCUCAUGUCAGGAAUACCAAAACAAAAACAUGAUCACCAUGAUCAGCAAAACAUCUAACUGUUUGGCUGCCCCCUACUCUAAUAAAAAAAAACUCAAUUCCCCAGAACUAACCAUUUAACAAAUGCCUACCAGCAAUAUAAACAAGAUUACAUGACCAUCUGGCACUUGAGAAAUUGUAAGCGGGUGGACCAUGGGUACUAACUUAGUAAAUUUGUUGGGUCAUGGGCAGUAACUAAAAACAAAAAGGGGAAUGUUCCUGCGUCUUGUAUGAGACACAUGAAGUGUCAUACCAGGUUUCAACAUAGUAUACUCUCCAACAGACUUCUUAAAUUUCUCAACCGUCGCAGUUAUAUCAAAUCCUUGACCUUCCUGUGCAGGAACACCUUGCUUUCGCCGUAAACCCAUAAAAUAACAGCAAUGGAAUGGUCUGGAUUUGUCUGAAAUUUGAACAGGGUGUGGACGGCACUGAAGCAAACCACGUGUGUCUUUCUCGAUCUGAACCAUGCACAACAAAAACAAGUCAGAAUGCAUUUGAAUAGCAAAUCCAGCAGAGAUAAGUCGAUAACCCUUCUUUUCUUUACAAAAAAUCAACCAUUCACCUGCAAGGUCAACUGACGUAGUCGAGAUUCAACCCAACCUUUCCAUUGCCUCAAGUCGUCAUCAUUUUCAGCAGAGAUGUCAAUCUGCAGAUAAUUGUUAUAAGCUUCAAAGAAAGCGUAGGGCUCAAACAGCAUAUUCCAAUCAGCUUUGCUUACAUCCAUCCCCUGAUAGAGCAAAUAAUAUCAAAAGCUAAUCACAAUAACACAUUCAACAUAAAUACUCUGAUAAUGAAUCACAAGAGCCACACCCGACCCUUCAAAUAGGUCAAUACUUGACAGCUAUUGAAAAUACCAAGACAAUAACAAAGAUGAUGCUUGAUUGCAUCACUCUAAUAGAUCUGUAGACCGAACACCUUACUUUCCUUUCAUCUAUUGAAUUGUUGCCUUUUGAUCAAUGGGUAAAAAAAUAAUUAAGAACACGAAAUAUCUAAAGGCUCAAAGCCAAAAACCACAUCAGGUAUCAUCAUUUCUGCAAGGAUAAUUAUACAAAUGAUACAACACUCGUUUUCAAUGGGAUAGUCCACAUGUCACCUUCUACGUCAGUAUAUAAAUUCUACACAUAGACUAAAACAAUACUUUAACAACCUUAAAAGAUCUUCUAAACUCUACAAUAACACUUUUCAGUCUUCUCAUCUGUAACUCUUUUUGAUAAUUUCCAAAACUAAGAUCACUAGAAAGUGAUCGCUCCAUUGCUUGUAAAGGAUGAAAUAGUAAAGAGGUAAAAUAAUUUAUUUUGAAAGUUAUGAGCUCAUAAUGAUCUGAGCCAUAGUGUGUCAUAUUAAAUGUGAUAUAAGCUAUACGUGUGCUGAAAGUAUAUAUGUAAGAUAAAAAGGUUAGGUGACAAUCAUAUAAUCUCUCCCCAAAUAGUAGACCCCACAUACAGUAGUUAAGUUAGCACCAAAAUAAAGCAUAAUGAUUCUAUAAGAAGCUAGCAAUGCAACAUUAGUCAAGUUCAAACAAAAAACCUUAUAAUAGCAGCUGACAUGUAAAAGUCUUUAGCAUCAAUCAGCCUCAUUUAUAAUAUAUAUCAUUAGAACUUUGACAUGGUCGUUAUUAUUCCACUUACUACAGUGAAUUCAAAAGUUUCAAAGUAAGCAUAAGUUAAUUACCAUCUUCAGAGCCACCUUUGUUUUGUCUUCUCAUUUUCAUAUCCAUAACUAUGGAGUUGUAAAUCAUAAUUUAUUAAAUAACACGUUUAAACUUUAAAUAAAGAUAUUUUAAUUUUCAAUAAUAAUCAUUGCUAUUUUAUCCACUUGAGUGACCCACUGUGCGAUUGGUUCAUAAACUUUCAAAAAUACUACGUAAAUAAAUUUCUAAAAGCACAAAUAUUACUAGGCAUUAUUUGGAAAAAAAUUUACUGAUAACUGUGCUUUUAGGAGCAGAGACUAUGUGAAUGCAAAACACACUAGUUUCAGUAUAGCUCACUAAAAAAGAGUAAUCAAAACCUUUCAUUCAUAAACUUGAGAAAGUACGAAAUUACCAUCAACCAACAAACAGAUCGUGAAAUACUACAUACCUCACAUAUUUCAUUUCCCUUCUGAAAUUCUUCAGUCAUAACAAGGAGUGUACUGGAUGAUACAUUGAAGGUAGAAUUCAUGCAAGGAUAAGCUGGUGUAAUUAUUGGCAUUUGAUGGUUUCUGUCGCGGGGAUUAAUUCUUGGAUCCCAUAUAGGAAGUCGGAGAAAACCUUCUUCAAUGGCACAUAGCAUCACUGGAUUUGGCCAUCGCCACUGAGUAUAAAUCCUAAAGAACCUAGAUACCAGCAUACUGGGAAGUGCAUUAGGAUAUAGUUGGCAUAUACGAGCAACAAGCAAAGCCCAGUUUAUACCACCCAGGAAACCUACAACCUGAUCAAAAUAAAGAACAUAGAAGAUGAUUAGGACAUUAUCAAGUUAUACUGUUAUAGUAAUCAUGUGCAGGUGUUUCUGUUCUGCAGAUGUAAUCUUUAUUUUUACAUCAUUCAAUAAAAUCUAUUUAUCGACAAAAAUGUAAUCAUGCGCAAGUGUCAUAAUAUAGGAACUCUCACAUUUGAAUAAAUUCCACGACGUUUCGCCCACAAUCUCAUGCAUCUUAACGUAGUGCGAAAAUUCUGGAUCAGUUAGACCAAGAACAAAAAAAGCCAAAUGUUAAGAGAGGCUGCAAGUAUAUUUUUUUCAGAAAAGUUAAACGUAAAAUUUGUUAUUUUUGAGAAAAGUAUGUUUUUGAGAGGCUGCAAAAAUAUGCAUAUGCAAAGAACUGAGUGUACGACUAUUAAUACCUGAAUAUUUGGCACUAAACGUAAAAUUUUGUCGGUAACUCGACAUCCAUUGAGACUACGAACCGUUUGCUUAUCUGUACCCUGCAAUAUUGAAUCCUGGGAAAUAUCCAAAUCCUACAAUACACAUUAGUAUAUAUACUGCAUCAGAUCAUAAGUAAACCUGUAGAAGAAUUUGAUUUAAAUCAUGGAUAUCAUAAUAGUAAAAAACAAUUGAACUACAUUCAAAAUGGUAUAAUCUCUAAUGACUAUUGGGCACUGCCCAUUGUCGUGACAUCAAAAUUAAACCAGACAAAACAAAACUAUCCUUGGUGAAAACAAGAAAUUACUCUGACUUCAUUUGUUUGACAUCAUAGCGGGGGAAAUUUUGGCCAUCAACAGCCUAACAAAAAUGAUAUCUUUCAAUAAAUACAUAAAUGGUCCAGAACUCGCCAAUUCAUUAAACUACGUUUGGCAGGAUUUGAAUUUAAAGGCAUAUGAGGGAUGAGGUCAUGUUCCAUACGCAAAAAACAGACCAAGCAAAUUCAAGAGAGAAAAAACAUAAGGAAAAAUUCAGACAAGGUAAUCUUCUUGUGUAGAAUGAUCCUGAAGCCAGUACAUGUAUGAUAACAACAUCAAUACUUACUUCGGGAAUGACCCAGAAUGACAGCUGCGCAUAGAGAAGAUCUAUAGAAACCCCACUGAAUUUGAACUUCAUCACAGGAACAUGAGCAUCAGGCACAGGAUUCAAUUGUGUUACUUCAGGCAUCUGUGUUAGCAUCCCAUACAGUUCUUCAAAGAAGUCCUCCUGCAGUAAAGACAAUGUUUUCAGACCACACGUGAAGAAAAGGUAAACAGAAUCAAGCAUUGUCGAAAGUUGGAGGCAAGAACUGAUCUCACUUUUCUUGUUGCAUAAUUAGGUCCAACACACAGUGUGUCUAUAUCUGCACCUGGCCCAUGCACCUAACAACAGAAUAAAUCAUAGUGAAGACCAACGUGUAUAAAAAACAUCGUAAAAGAACCAUCACCAACGGAGAAGAGAGAGAGAGAGAGAGAGAAAGAGAGGGGGGGGGGGGGGAGGAGGAUCCACUCGAAAUCAUAGUUUAAGGAUAAUUUUCUAAAGACCAUAUUGAGUAAAAGUUAGUUCCUACAACAAGAUCCACAAACAAUAAAAGUCAUUAGCAGUCCGAAGAAAAUUAAAUAGCCACAGUAAACUCUCUAAAAUUCAAGUUAUAUACUUCCGUUUUUAAAACAUCAUCUUUAAUCUCCUUAACGAGCUUAUUAUACCCAUAAUCCCCAUACCAUAAGAAGCAGAAUCACUAGAAGAAUACAGACCAGAAAAGACGCCAACAAUAAAAGUACCUUACAUGGAAGUAUCAUGCAAUUUCAAAUAAACCAUCAGUCAUUCUUAAUCUUUACUUUAGAGAGGGAGAGGGGUAGGAGGAAUAAAUGAAGUUUGAUUAGCAAGAGGUGAAAGAAUACUUUAAGAAUGGCAAGACCUAGCUUCCAACUGAUGUAAGAGUUAAGACGUUACAACGAGGUCGACAUCCCUUUUGCCACUUAUUACUGCUGACCUACCCAGUAAGACUGUAAGAGGGGCAGAGAGUCCGCAAACUUCUUUCUAAAUAAAAAAUUAUAAAUCCGUUAAUUUAGAACAUAGAUGAACUGGUUUCAAACUUAAGCAAAAACAACGCAUCUUAUGAAAUUGUCAAUACUUACUUUGAUAUUAUCCACAUAAGUUAAUAACAAAAACACUAAAAUUUCAAAUUUCAGCAUUUUGAACCUAAGCAGCCAUGUAAUGAAUUUGAACCAUCCCAUUUUUAUGCAUAUCAACCAUUAUAGUUCAUCUCACAAACAAUUCUAGAUGAUUUAAUAUAUCAACAUAAAAUCGCAUUCAGUGAUGCUUGACAUAGAGCAAAAGAUUAAACGAAAAAAUGUAGAUGAAGCGAGUUAUAUAAUCUCAAGGAGUUCAGCUGUAUCAAAAGAUACAAAAGAAUUAUAAAAGUUGUGGAAAAAAAGGGAAUAUUUUUAUUUUAACCAGAAUAAACAGUAUAAAUGUGAAUAACAACUUCUGGUACAAUAUCACUGGGUCUCAAAACAUAGACCAACAAAUUGCCUCCAUCAAUCCAGAAUUGGUAGGUGCUCGUAAACAGUAAAAGAAUUAAGUUUAUACUAAGUGGGGCCAAAAUGUAAAUAUGGCAAAUAUAUGUCAGAAGGUACAAGCUAGAAAAAAAAAUAUGGCAAAAACACAUUAACAUAAAACAUGGAAACAGGGUGGGAAUGAACUAGAAAGAAAAUCAUACCCCAAGGCGAUAAGAACCAAAUGUGAAGAUCUUGGCAUUUGCUUCAUGAACUAACCAUUCGUUAUAUCCCUUUUUGUGGCUGACCCUUUUUACCCAAUUCUUCACUAUCUGUUUGAUGUCCCCAACAUAUACAAAGUGUCAAAGACAAGACAAGUACAACAAAACUGCUAAAUAGCUAGUUAUAAGUGAAUCCAAAAUAGCCACAAGAUGAACCUGGUCUAAUCUCCCAAGCACUUCUUCCCUCAAUACUGCUUCCUCCUUGCUUUCAUACAAUCCAGCAUCUAACAGGUACUAACAAUACAAAAGUUUAUGUUAUUAAAUUCAACAGUUACGAAGAUUUUCAAAUAAAAACCAGAGACAUAUUUGACCAAAACUGGGAAACCCAAUUCAAAUAAACAAACCUUCUCAAGUUCUUGAGUCAUAACCUUGUCAAAAUCCGUAGGUCCAGCUAAUGAAAUGGGUUCUGUGACUCCAAGCAUCUGUUGCCCAUUCGCAGGGUUUCCCAUUACCAUUACUAGUAAUGAUCAAAUACAGAAUGCUCUUUUUUUAACACAAAUGAUAUUAUCAAAAUUACUCGAAAAUGUAAACUAUUGAAGUAUUUCUUUACAAAGUAUAAACUAAUUCAAGAACAUAAGAGUAGUGUAAACUAUGCAAUCAGAAACUAGAAAACAAAAUAAACACAAUUCAGAAAACUAUCCAAUCCAAUCCAAUAUUCAUUCAGUUUAGUUUCUUUUACAAGGAAUUGAAAUACAGAGAUCAAACAAACCCUAAAUAACAAGAAUACAACACAAUCUCUCAAAAUUCUUGAUUCUUUCUCUAUGACAAAACUAAGAAAACCCUAACUCUCAAAAUAAACCCUAAUUGAGAAACCUUCUUAAGCGAUCAUCGUCUUCAACAUAUCUCUAGAACGACUUUCUUGACAAUUGGCUGAAAUGAUCUUUCGCCUUAUGAUGUUGAUGAGAUUAGCAAAUCUGAGUUCUGACUUCUGAUAAC